rnacentral:lncRNA from 1 species
CGUUCAGUCCUUCAUUUCGGGUUUUAUAACCCCUUUUUACAUCCUUUUUCUAUUAUUCUAUCCUGUUUUUUUUGUCUUGAUCUUGCAGGGCAUGGAGGUGCUGGUAGUGGAGGAGGAGCAUGCAGCGGUAGAUGGUGUCAGACGCGUGGACACGCGAAGCCAGCGAUUGGCGAGUAGCGGCGGUGGGCGUGCGCAGGAGGUGGCAGCAACAACAUGCGGCUGAGGUUUCUUUUUGUGUUUGAAAGUUGGUGUAGUUUUGGGCCAUUCGGGCCUCUAGGGUUUUUAUUAAUAUUGGGCAUUUGGGCUUGUAGUUUUUGGGUUUAAAUUGGCUGAAAAUGGGUUGCUUUUGUUUUUAUUAUUUGGGUCUAUUUUGCUGGUAUGGGCCCGGGUAUUUUAUUUUCUGAUUUAGGCCAUAUUGGCCUGCUUUAAUGGACUGUGGCAUUUUAUUUAUUUUGUUUUAUUUUUGGCACUUGGCCCGGCAAAUUUGGGCUUCUACAGUUGCCCCUCUUUGCUCGUUUUCGUGUAACGAGAACAGAGCAAAGACCAAGAAAGACCAAAUUUGCCUGGUCUCGCCGAGGCUUGACUUUUUGGUGCUCAUCUUCUUCAAGUAGCCUUAUUCUGUUCUGCUGUGUCUCGUUGCUUCAAUCCACUUCACUGCGCUCCGGAGAAACAUGACUUAAAUCUAUUCUGCUGCAACUCCAUGGGGAUGAGAUUUGUUGUUUUCUUCGUCUGCUCCACUACUGCUUAGGGAGAUAAGACUGAAUAUGAUCUGCUCCGCUACCACUUAGGGAGAUAAGACUGUAAUCUCCGAUCUAUUCCACUGUCAAAUGCAGGGAGAUAGAGUUAUCAGCUUCAAUCUACUCCACUGUAGUCACAGGGAGGUAAAAUCUGCCAUCUUUGAUCUUCAAUCUAUUCCACUGCCAAAUACAGGGAGAUAGAGUUAUCGGCUUCAAUGUACUCCACUGUAGUCAAGGAGGUAAAAUCUGUCAUCUUCGAUCUGCUUCGCUGUCAACUACAGGAAGGCAAGAUCUACAAUCUUCGAUCUACUUCACGCCAAUACAUGAAGACAAGAUCUGCUUUCUGCGAUCUACUUCGCCACCAAUAUGGGAAGACAAGAUCUGCAUCUUCGAUCCACUUCCUACCAAUAUAGGAAGAUAGGAUCUGCUACCUUCGAUCUACUUCACGCCAAUACAUGAAGACAAGAUCUGCUUUCUGCGAUCUACUUCGCCACCAAUAUGGGAAGACAAGAUCUGCAUCUUCGAUCCACUUCCUACCAAUAUAGGAAGAUAGGAUCUGUUAUCUUUGAUCUACUUCACGCCAAUACAUGAAGACAAGAUCUACUUUCUGCGAUCUAUUUUGCCACCAAUAUGGGAAGACAAGAUCUGCAUCGUCGAUCCACUCCCUACCAAUAUAGGAAGACAAGACCUACUAUCUUUGAUCUACUUCACGCCAAUACAUGAAGACAAGAUCUGCUUUCUGCGAUCUACUUCGCCACCAAUAUGGGAAGACAAGAUCUGCAUCGUCGAUCCACUUCCUACCAAUAUAGGAAGACAAGACCUACUAUCUUUGAUCUACUUCACGCCAAUACAUGAAGACAAGAUCUACUUUCUGUGAUCUACUUCGCCACCAAUAUGGGAAGACAAGAUCUGCAUCUUUGAUCUACUUCCUACCAAUAUAGGAAGAUAGGAUAUGUUCCUUUGACCUAUAAAAUCAAUUUUAUGGACCUAUUUACGUCUAGUGUUUAGGAUGACAUGAUCAGAGUGGAUCAAAUGCUCCUAACUAGAUGUGUAUGAAUGAUAUUUGUAGAAUGUCAUGAGAAUGAUCCAUUUUUGAUGCUUAGGUUGUCAUUCCUCAUUGUUCAUCAAGGUUCCAUCACUGAUGCCUUCUUGUUCAGCCAGUACCUUUGACAGAAAACCUAAAGAAAUAGACGCUAUUUAGACUAUCAUUUCUCAAAUGUUUCCAACCCUUAGGUUUGGUUAGUUCUAAACAAUAGUCCUGUUUCAAGUCCUCGUAUUAUUUAGAAACUUUCAGAGUAAUAUGCAGAACUCCUUCUGCAUGUGUAUUGUCAGUCCAUUAAUCGUUAUUUCAAUGAAAAAUGCUUGAGAAAGAUUAUCAAAAUGGACAAAAUGAAAUUUUGUUGAGAGCAAAUCUCUAAACAAACAAAUCAAGAUAGCAAAUUUUGCUGAGAUAUGAGAUGAAUAAGAUGAAAAAGAUUAUCACAAUGAAUAAGAUGGAACUUUAUUGAGAGCAGAGCUCUAAAUGAACAAAUAGCAAAUUUUGCUAAGAUGUAAAUAAGAUAAAAAAAAGGUGCCCCAGAUAUCGUAGCAUGAGCUUCUCUGCCCCAAACUUCUUAAGGACCCUUUUGAACUUGAUAUGUGUUUAGAAGUCCUAGAAGGCUUUGUUGAUGCCCCAAGAUGUAGCAUCUUUCCUUCUUGUUAAUUCGAAGAAGACAAAACUACUUUAUGCUUCAUCUUUGAUCGAAAAUUUGAAUUGCCCAUUCCUGGGUUUUCAAUUCAAAACCCCUUUGGUUUCAAGGUGCCCUUUGCGGGUUUUCGCCUUGGCCUCUCCUUUUUUUUUUUUUUAGGCAAAGUACCUCUUCACUGAAUCCGAAUUCACAGGAUUGGGCAAGCUUUUGCCAUCCAUCCCAGUUAGAAUUAAUGCCCCUCCUGAAAAGGCCUUUUUUACUACAUAAGGUCCCUCCCAGUUUGGCAUCCACUUUCCUCUGAAGUCUUUUUGCAUGGGAAGGAUCUUCUUCAGUACCAAGUCCCAUUCAUGGAAGUUUCUAGGACGAACUUUCUUAUUGUAAGCUCGCAUCAUUCGUUUCUGGUACAUUUGACCAUGACGGAUAGCUCUUAACCUCCUUUCUUCAAUCAAGUUCAGCUGAUCAUAUCGAGAUUGGACCCAUUCUGCUUCGUCUAACUUUAGUUCUGAAAAAACUCGGAGGGAGGGAAUUUCAACCUCAAUUGGUAGCACUGCCUCCAUUCCAUAAACCAAAGAGAAUGGUGUUGCCCCGGUAGAAGUCCUGACGGACGUUCGAUAAGCAUAGAGGGCGAAUGGCAACUUCUCGUGCCAAUCUCUAUAGGUCUCAGUCAUUUUCCCCACAAUCCUUUUGAUAUUUUUAUUGGCUGCCUCCACCGCACCAUUCAUUUUUGGACGGUAUGGCGAUGAGUUGUGGUGCUUGAUAUUGAAUUGACUACAAACCUCUGCUAUCGUGCUAUUAUUCAAAUUUAAUGCGUUGUCAGAUAUAAUCCUUUCGGGCAUUCCAUACCGACAUAUGAUUUCCUUCUUUAAAAACUUGCUGACAGCUGCCUUUGUGAAAUUGGCGUAAGAAGUAGCCUCUACCCACUUAGUAAAGUAGUCAAUCACUACAAAAAUGAAACGAUGUCCGUUUGAAGCCUUUGGCGAUAUCGGCCCAAUGACGUCCAUGCCCCACAUGGAGAAAGGCCAUGUGGAAGUCAUGACGUGAAGAGGUGAUGGAGGCACAUGGAUUUUGUCUCCGUAAAUCUGGCAUUUAUGACACUUCUUAGCAUAUUUGAUGCAGUCUCCUUCCAUGGUAGACCAAUAAUAUCCAAAUCUCAUGAUUUGUCUGGCCAUUGUGAAACCGUUAGCGUGUGUUCCACAAAUACCAUCAUGGACUUCUUCCAAGAUCUGUUUGGCCUCCACAGCGUCCACACAUCUUAACAGCACCUGAUCUUUUCCUCUUUUAUACAGGAUCUCUCCAUCUAAGACGUAAUCACUGGCCAGCCUCCUCAACAUUCUCUUGUCAUUCUCAGUUGCUUGGUUUGGGUAUUCACGAUUUUUUACGUAUCGCAAUAUAUCCUGAUACCAAGGGUUGUCGUCCUUUUCUUCUUCUUCGUCAAUGUUACAACAGUGGGCUGGAGCAUCAUAAAUGCUCAUUUGGAUAGGCUUCACAUCCUCUGGUCUAUUUACUUUGAUUAUGGAAGCCAAUGUAGCUAAAGCGUCGGCCAUCUGAUUCUCGUCUCGUGGGAGAUAACAAAAAGUGAUGUCGUCAAACUCCUCAAUCAAUUCUAGGACUAUCCUUCGGUAACUAAUCAACUUAGGGUCUCUUGUUUCCCAUUCGCCUUUGAGUUGAUAAAUUACCAAUGCCGAAUCCCCAUAUACCUCAAGUACCUUGAUUUUGCGUUCCAUAGCCGCGCGGAUUCCCAUGAUACAUGCUUCAUAUUCCGCCAUGUUAUUUGUGCAAUCAAAAUCUAGUUUACUGGUGAAAGGAUAAUGAUCACCGUUUGGAGAUACCAAGACUGCCCCAAUCCCGUUGCCCAUGGCAUUUGAGGCUCCGUCAAAAUUUAAUUUCCAAGUAUUGCCUUCUUGUGUGCUUGCUUCAAUAGUUGCCACAUACAUCAGAUCCUCAUUUGGGAAAUCAAAGUUCAAAGGCUCAUAAUCGUCCAGGGCUCUACUUGCUAGAAAAUCUGCUAUCGCGCUCCCUUUUACAGCCUUUUGAUUCACAUAGGUUAUGUCAAAUUCAGAUAGUAGAAUUUGCCAUCGGGCCAUCUUUCCGUUUAGAGCAGUUGACUCCAUCAUGUAUUUCAGAGGAUCUAACUUUGAGAUUAACCAAGUCGUAUGGUACAACAUGUAUUGUCUCAAUCUCCGAGUAGUCCAAACCAAUGCGCAACAUAAUUUUUCAAUUGGCGAAUAUCUAGCUUCGCAUUCAGUGAACUUCUUACUAAGAUAAUAGAUCGCUCUUUCUUUUCGUCCUGACUCAUCAUGUUGGCCGAGCACGCACCCCAUGGAAUUCUCAAAUACUGCCAAGUAUAGUAUCAGUGGUUUGUCAGGGCAAGGUGGCAUCAGUACUGGGGCGUUGGACAAGUAAUGUUUAACUCUUUCGAAAGUUUUCUGGCACUCCUCAUCCCAUACACCUGGAUUGUGUUUCCUAAGAAGACGGAAUAUGGGGUCACAUUUCUCAGUUAAUUGUGAAAUGAAUCGAGCGAUGUAAUUUAGUCUUCCUAGGAAACCCCGAACUUCUUUUUGAGUACUUGGCGGAGGUAAUUCUUGUAUGGCCUUAACUUUGUCUGGGUCAAUUUCAAUUCCCUUUUCGCUGACUAAGAAUCCUAGCAAUUUUCCUGAUCUAGCCCCGAAAGUACACUUGGCUGGGUUAAGUUUUAGCUGGAACUUCCUUAACCUCAGAAACAGUUUUCUCAGAACUUGCACGUGUUCCCUUUCUGUUCUGGAUUUUGCGAUCAUGUCAUCAACAUAAACUUCUAUCUCUUUAUGCAUCAUAUCAUGGAAUAAUGCUACCAUGGCUCUCUGAUACGUUGCUCCCGCAUUUUUCAAUCCAAAAGGCAUCACUUUAUAACAAAACGUCCCCCACAUCGUUAUGAAUGUGGUCUUCUCCCUGUCUUCAGAAAGCAUCUUAAUUUGGUUGUACCCGGAGAAACCAUCCAUGAAAGAGAACAGUGAGUAUCCGGCCAUGUUGUCUACCAAGGUAUCGAUAUGAGGCAGUGGGAAAUUAUCUUUUGGGCUGGCUUUGUUCAAGUCUCUGUAGUCCACACACAUUCGCACCUUCCCAUCUUUCUUAGGAACAGGGACUAUAUUGGCUACCCAUUCUGAGUACUUGACCACCUGUAAGAAACCAGCAUCAAAUUGCUUCUUAACUUCUUCCUUUAUUUUUAGCAAGACGUCAGGCCUCAUCCUUCGGAGCUUUUGUUGGACUGGUUUGCAUUCUUCCUUUAUAGGCAAUCGGUGUACCACGAUAUCAGUACUUAACCCUGGCAUAUCUUGGUAGGACCACGCGAAGACAUCUUUAAACUCUCGAAGCAACUCAACAAGGUCUUGCCUUGUUUCCUUGGCAAUGCAAGCGCCAAUUUUUACCUCUCUGCCCUCUUCUAAGAUCACAACUUCUACUGAUUCCUUAUAGGGUAGAAUUUGUUUUUCUUUUUCUUCCAUCAUUCUUAACAAAUCCGGAGAUAAAACGCUGUCUUGGCCACCUUCAAAAUCUUGAGGAUCAUCUAUACUUAUGUCUUGCUCAAAUAGAGACUCUGAAUUAGUAACAGAGUCGCUCAUCUCGUUGAUAUCUGAAGACCUGUUAUUGGAACAAAUGGAGGCCCAAAUAAAAGAAUCUAAGAAUACUUGUAUGCAUAGUAUGAUUAUAAAGGGAAUGAAAAGAAUGAAAGAAUAUUUGCUCAAGAUGAAACUGAAUGAUAAGUUUUCACUGAAAUUAGAUUUUGGACAUGUGCCUUUUACAAAAGAUUCUUAUCACCCCCAGGCUUAGGGCAACAAGUGUUCUGAAUAUUACUCUGAAUUAGUUCUAAAUGUUACAGGGAUCUCUUCUGCAGUCCAGUUAUUCAGAACACUUCCAGGUUCGUAAGGACGAAUGCCCGAUAAAUUCCUUUCCACCCUUUCUUCCGCGGAUAUGGCAUUGAUGUCCAACAUCUCAAUCCUUCCUUCUGUAACCUCAUCAUUCUCUUCAGGGUGGACAAUUCCCCCUGAAACAAAAGUCUUAGAUAUAUGGGGAAAGGUCAUCGGUCCCCACUUGACUUCUAUCCCGCCCAAAUGUGCUCUUCUCUUUUCUUGCUUUUUCUCCAUCUCUUUCCUCCUUUCCCUCGCAUUAGGCUUAUAUCCCAAACCAUAACGAUCCUGCUUGUUAACUAGGAUCGGUACUCCAACCCUCCCCUGGAGGUAUUUUCCCAAUCCUCUUCCAGGCAAUGCUCCCUUUCCCAUCGUUAGCUGUAAGCUCAUUGACGUAGCUUUGGAUAUCUUAGGUUCUGGGAUUUUGCUCAUCUCGAUGACAAAUGUGGCAUUUACGAAUUCCAAUGAUCGGAAUGAACAUUCUAUCGCUUCACUAUCAGCCUCUAUGUAUGGCAUAUCAUCGGUGACUGAUGCAAUGAUGUCUUCUUCUGCACCUAUAGUCACCAAUCGACCCUCUAUCACCAAUUUUAACUUUUGGUGAAGUGACGAUGGUACAGCUCCUGCAGAAUGGAUCCAAGGCCUCCCCAAUAGGCAAUUGUAAGAUGGUUUAAUAUCCAUUACCAAAAAGUCCACCUCGUAUGUAUUUGGACCAAUCAAUAGAGGUAUCUCGAUUCUCCCCAUCACUUUUCUCUCAGUGCCAUCAAAUGCUCUCACUAUAUUUUGGCAUGAUUUCAUGUGAGAACUAUCCACGGGUAGCCUGUUUAAUGUGGACAGGGGUAAAAUAUUCAGGGCCGAUCCAUUGUCCACGAGUACCGCCGGUAGUAUACACCCCUUGCAACGGGCAGUGAUGUGCAAGGCCUUGGUAGAUCCCAUACCACCUGGCGGGAUCUCAUCAUCGUUGAAGAAGAUGAAGUUAUCGGCAUUUAUAUUGUUAACCAGGCGAUCCAAUUUGUUCACUGAGAUAUCUUUAGCGACAUAAGUCUCAUUUAGCACUUUUACCAACGCAUUACGAUGUAUCUCUGAACUUAGAAGUAACUCGAGCACUGAGAUGCGAGCGGGUUGCUUAUGCAAUUGUUCCACCACGCUAUACUCGCUAUGCCUCAAGAAUUUUAGGAAUUCUCUAGCCUCAUUUUCAGUCACCGGUGUGUUAAUAUGCGGUUCAAUUCCGAUCGUCUUCGUUUUAUCUUGUUCAACCGCCAAGGCUUUUCCUUUUAUAGGCUCCCUUUUUGUAUUUCCCAGGUCGUAACAUUUUCCACUACGCGUAUAGAAGCCUGCGCCAUUACCCCAUUCUGAAGCAUUUAUCGGGUUCUCCUCUCCCGUAAUCAUCACAUUGCAAUCGUAAUUCCAAGGAACCUUUUUGCUAUCCUUGUAAGGAAAGGCUACAGGUUUUUGGAUUAUGACCCUUGGCGCCAGUUGUAUUCCAGAUCCUGUACUCGUUGGCCUUGAAAUAAUCACCACUGGGUGAUUUGAGGCCUUUCCCGUAGGCCCCUCCUCCGAGGCAUAAACUUCUCCAUUUUCAAGUCCUUUGAUCUCUUCAUAAAAUUCUAGCUCUUUGUUGUUCAUCAGAUUUUGCACCAUGGCCUUGAAUUCAGUGCAGUUUUGAAUGUCAUGGUCUUCUUCAACAUGAAACUCGCAGUACGUCUUCGUUCCUUCGGGCCUUUCUUUUGAAUCUUGUUUGAUGAGACCUCCUUCUAUCAUUUGUCUCCAGACCCAACUCAAUGGGGUUUUUAUCUCUGCAAUGUCAGUUUUGAUUCUCUUUUUCUCACCUUCGAUUAUUGUGUUUACCCCUUUAUCAGCAUGGUUGGGUAACGGAUUCGCUGCUACGUUGGGUCCUAAUGGGUUGUCAAACUUCACAAUCCCCAUCUUAAUGAACCUUUCCACCGCCUUUUUAAACCCAGUGCAGUUCUCAAUUGAGUGUCCUGGUAUCCCUGCAUGGUAUUCACAUUGGGCAUUCGUGUCAUACCAUUUGGGAUAUGGAGGUUGCAUGGGCUCGAGAUAAAAUGGAGAUACUAUGUGUGCAUCAAAUAACUUCUGAUACAGUUCUCCGUAUGUUAUUAGAAUGGGUGUGAAUUGAAGUCUCUCUGUGUUAGUCCUUGUGUUGGGCCUUGUGUUGGGUUCCUGCCUCGAGGGGGCUUGGUGACUAGUGGUUAUCAUUUUUGGAGGGCCAACAGUAAUCGGUUUUGAAUGACUCUUGCUAUAUGUGCUUACGUUGUUUACUUCGCCCUCUUUUUUCCUUGGGGCUGGUCUUUUGAAGUUUUCCCCCGUGUCAAUCUUACCGCUCCUUACCGCGUUCUCAAUCAUUUCACCGGACAUUACCAUAUCCGAGAAGCUCUUGGUAGCACUCCCCAACAUGUGGUUGAUGAACGAGGCUUUCAGAGUGUUGAUAAACAACAUGGUGACCUCUUUUUUCCAAAAGGGGUGGCUGGACUUGUGUUGCCACUUCUCUCCAUCGUUGGGCGUACUGCCUGAAAUUCUCGCUAGGCUUUUUCUCCAUGUUUUGUAACGUAAUUCGAUCGGGUGUUAUAUCCGUUACAUGACUGUACUGCUUCAUAAAAGCUUGCGCCAAGUCUCUCCAUGAACUAACUUUAGCACGACUCAGUUGGUUGUACCAUUUGGCUGCAGAUCCGAUCAAACUGUCCUGGAAGCAGUGGAUUAACAGCUGAUCGUUGUUGACGUAUCCUGUCAUUCUUCGACAGAACAUAGUUAUAUGAGCUUCAGGACAACUAGUUCCAUUAUAUUUUUCGAAUUCCGACAUUUUGAACUUAGGUGGGAGUACUAAAUCAGGGACCAAACUCAGAUCCUUGGCGUCAACCCCGCGAUGAUAGUCAAUGUUCUCCAUGACUCUAAAUUUUUCCUCUAACCAUCUACAUCGGUCCUCUAGUUGUUUUGGCAGGUUCGUUCUUGUUUUUUCUGUUUCUGCCACGUCAUCGAGGUUCGGGACCACAGGAUUAGUGGGAUUAUCCCCGGGAUUAGAACCCGAGCCCAUUUGAAAAUACAAUGGUACCGAGGCACCAGCCAGAUAUUGAGGUCUAAUGGUAACCGGUACCCUCUGUGGGUACACCUCUGGUUGUGCUUGGAUGUUAGUUGGGGUGAAACCUGGAGGAUAAACAGGGUCAUCGUGAUCUUCCCCAGCAUCAACUACGGGGUCUUUUCCUUUGUUAUUUCCUCCAGCCAAUAACUGCUUUAAUCGGUUCAUCACAGUGUUCUGGGAUUCUAACAUGUCCUGCUGGAUUUUUUCCAGUCGUUCAUGCAUCUGAUCUUGCAUCUCUCGUUGCAACUGUUCCAAUCUUUCCAACCUUUGAUCCAUUGCUUUUGUUUGGCGACGAGUACCGUAGUGAUAUUUGAUUAGAUUUUGGUUGGUUUCCAGGGUAACUGUCAUAAUUUAAUUUUAUUAGGGUCAUUUUAUGAGAUGUAAUGCAAAUGUAUGAGAUGAAUGCAAAAAAGAGGCAUUGAUUCGAAUUCAAUUUCAUUAGAAAACUCAACUAGAAAGCAAAUUUCUUUACAUAAAAUAAAUUACAUAUACGGCUUCGCCUUUAUACCCAAAACCUUAACCUUCCUAAGAAGCCAAGCUAAAUUUCGACCUCGGCUUGAUUCUGACUCAUAUUUUAAACUCAAUACAUCGGCCUGAACUGCUAAUGUUUGCAGAUGAUCAGCCACUUCCCGCACUUGAGUCACAGCUUCGCCCAUAACGUAAUCUCUAUCUCUAAUCUGCCUUUGAGAAUGAUGGAAUUGCUCUUGCCAUUGAUCAUUACUCCUCUCAAGAAGCUCCAUUCGUAGCUCAGAAUUGUGUAAUGCGUCCUCAAGCUCCUCUACCUUUCCUUUCAGUUCUUCGAUCUUAUUUAAGCUUGCUCUUAAUUCGAUCAUGGAGUUGCGACUACGGUACGAGUGAAGUGACUUUUCUAGCUCUGCCACCUUGGCCUUUAAUCCUGCCUUCUCAUUUCGGCACUCUAACAAACUCCUUUCCAAAGCGUUUUCUCGAGCUCGAGCAUCUUGAAAUUUAUUUUCCCACUGAUUGGCCCUAUUCUUUUCCUCAUUGAUCUCUUGUCGCCACUGCUCUGAUGUUUUACCCAGACCGACAGUUCUCAUCGACAAUCGCAGCUUCUUGUAAUCUGUUUUUAGACUAUCCAAAUCCUCUUCAGCUUUGUUCUUUCCCUUCCUUAAUUUCUCAGCUUCUAGCUUGUGGAUAUCGAUGUCUAAUCCCAAAUGCACUCUUUCUUCUUCUAACUGUUCUAUCCUCUUUCCCAACUCAGAAUUUCUUUUCUCAAAGUCUCGUUUGAUGAUCUCUAAUUCUGACGGAACUACUUGUAGAUGCUCUUCUAUAGACUGAACGCAAUCUUCCCUCGGCUUAGGGAUGUUGUCAUUGACUCUUUUACUCCACCACCCAUAAUAUUCUGAAGUUGCCAUCGCUCCUACGGUAAAUCUUUUCAUUCGGUGAACCUGUUUCCAAGCGUUAGAUAUUUCUCGAGUUUUUCUCUUGUAGUUUUCAUCCUUAUAAGAAAACUCACAUUGAGCCAACCCUUGUGUUGCUGGUAUGAACUGUCUCGAUCUAUAUUGUCUUAAUACGAGUAAAGGGGCAUAACCGAUAGCUCCCCAAAUUCCGAGUAAAGGGACCCAGUCGAAAUCACCACAUCGAUACAGGAUCUCGUCGGGUACCAUCCAAGGAGCUUUCCAUUCAACGUCAUCCUCCUGAAAAUUUUGGAGAAUCGCCAUCCACUUCUCUUCCGUGAUGUCGUCUCGUCUUGGUGUAGCAACUUGUUCCUUCAAUGGAGAAUAGUCUUCUGAGAAGACUCGAUAGGAGACAUUUUCCACCUUCCAAAAGUGACUAUGGAACCACACCAAUAGUAGCUGCGCGCAUCCGAUGAACCUUCCCCCCCUGCUCUUCGACAUGCACUUAGAGAUCUGAAGGUUUCUGCUAAGAUUGCCGGGAUGGGCGUGACUCCUUUACUAAGCCGAUCGAACAAAUCAGAGACGGCCUCAUCUACGUGCCCUAAAGCUCUAGGGAAAAUUACCAAUCCAUAGAUACCUAGAGCGAAGACAUCCACUCUUUUCUUCACAUCAGGGUGUGCUAAUACUAAAUCUCGCAAGCUUUUCCAAGGAACGCAUUUACUGUCUCCUUUCUGUUGGAUUCGGGCAGUGACCCACUGUUCGCUCAUCCCUGUAAUGCUCAUCAAUUUUUUUAAUAAUGUCGGGACACUAGCAGCUCUAGAAUAGGCUUUGUCAAUUUGAAUCUUUGGACACCGAAGCAGGGUCGUAUAUUCUUCCAUGGUGGGAACCAAGUCCACUUUUCCAAAAGUGAAACAACUGUAAGCAGGAUUCCAAAACUGGGCUAGGGCUCGGAAUAAAUGCUUGUCCACUUUGAUACCAAGUAGGUAAGGCAAGUCCCCGUAGUCACAGUAAAACAUCUGCUUGGUCCCGUCGUCCCAUUGAUCCCAUAUUUCCUUCAUUUCUCGAAGAUCAUUUUGGAUUACGCUGAUACGGGUGAAGUCCCAUAACUCUGAUACGUACCCUUCUGCAAGACUAUCGCCUUUCUCUCUCCACAUCGUCUCAGCCCAUAAUCGUACGGCUGCAUUGUCUUCUACUUUAUCAAGAAACCUCUUUUCCAUUAUAAGCUUUCUAUCUAUACUGAACGUGAAUCGACACCUCUUUUGAAAUGAAAAUGCCAUGCAAUCACAAACAAAGCAAAUUAGAUCUAGGAUUUAAAGUAAACAAUAAUAAAUAAAGCAUCUAUUCGGUAAGCACUAGGGUCUGGAAUAGCUCUAUCUCGGUGGGUUCUUAUGGCUCGCUAUGUGUGGUUUGGUUCUAAAGUAAGGGUACCUGAACCAGCAGAUUCCUCGAUCCUCACCCAUUAUAGGCUCAUAUGGACCGAGUUCAGUUCAGGGGAAUACAUUUCCCUAUGGCCAUGCGGAGAUGAAAAUCUCACGAAGACAUAGGUACGGAUGUAUCCCGGAAGCGAUUCACUAUCCCAUGCGGAGGUGAAAACCUCACGAAGGCGUAGUUUCUCACUCCCACUUAAAAGGUGUGACCAGCGGUCAUGCAAUGCAAUGUGCAGAGGUAUAAAAUAAAAUACAGAACACGAUAAAAAAAUAUAACUCAAAACAAAAGAGAUGCAAUGAGAGGAUCGUAAAUUUAAAUCGAAUUUUCCAUUUUCAGCAAAAAGACAAUAAAUAAUCAACACGUGGCUUGACUCUCUUAUUGUCCCCAGUGGAGUCGCCAAGCUGUUGACACCAUUUUUUGGAUGAAAACGGGGUCGACUUGGAUUUUGAAAAAAAGAAUAAAAACGGGAGUCGCCACCAAUCUUUUUUGAUGAGGUGUGAUCGGGUCACCUUUAAAAGCAGCUGUUUUUAAUAAACAAUUUAAUUUUAUUAAAACAAUGAGUUUGGUCUACGAAAUUUAGAAAAAUGAGUUCGGGAGUCGGUUACGCACGAGGAAGGAUUAGCACCCUCGAUACGCCCAAAAUUGGUACCUAGUUGAUUACUUAAUGUCUUGAUGUCGAAAAUAAAAACUCGAAAAGAAUUUUAAAAUACGAUCCUUAAAAGAAACUCUGAUAACGUGAAUUGAAAUAUAAGAUUCUCUUGUUCUUAAGGAAUAUCACAUCCAGCACGUUAGGACCCGAUACUCUAAACCAUCGAACCAAGAUUACCUUAUAGUUUAAUGAAACCAUACUUUGAAGCUUUAAGAGGAUAUUUGGCUAUUUAGUCAAACGAGAAAUCGAAACCCAGCACGUUAGGGCACGUUUUCUCGAGUUUCCAAACGCGAAAUAUUGCCUUAUUUAGAAACUUUUGCUUUGGAAUAAUAGCGAAUCCGAUAUUUAAACAACGUUGAUUAUUUGUUUGGAUUUAAAAAAACAAUUUAUUGGAUAAAUGCACCGAGGCUUGAUUCGUGAGGCGAUGAUAUGAAAAAAGAUAACAAUGAGCAUGAAACAAAUAUACAUGGAUUUAUCAAGUAAACAAAUUAAAAUAAACAUCACGACAAUACAUCAUUUAAAUAAUAACAUCGACAAAUAACCAAUGAAUUUAAUCAUAUAUAACAAUCUUUAAAAAUAAGGAAGAUAUAAAGUAAAUUAAAACAAAUAAAAAUGUAAACAAACUUUAGAAUGAUAAUAAAUGAAUUUAAAAUAAAUAAUGUAGAAAAGAAUUUUAAAAUCCGUAAUACACGAGGCAAAUUAAAAAGAUGAUAUAUAUGAAUAAUUUCUGUCCUUCAAAAAAAUAUAUAUAUAUAUGCAAAAGUGUAAAAAAAAACGUAUGCAAACAAACCUAAAAUAAAUAAUAAUAGAAUCAUUUAAAUAAAUAAAAAGGAUUUAAAAUGGAUGAUAAAUAACAGGACUUAAGGUAGUUACGGUAAAAAUAAUUUCAAAUGAAUGAUGUAUAAAAGAAAAAAGAAUAUAUAUAUACAUAUAUACAUAUUUAUAUAUAAAUAAAUGGCUUAAAAUAGGUAUUACAAAAAAAUAAAAGAAAAUUUAAAAUGAAUAACCUACAGAAUAGCUUGAAUUAAAAGUUAUAUAUGAAUAUAAAAUAUGUAAUAGUUUAAUAUAAAUAAUUUAUAUAAAAACAUAUAAAGUAAACAACGUAUAGAAAGUUAACAAACAACACAUGAAAGCAUUAAAAUAGAAAUGAGACAAGUUCCUUAAAAAAGGGCUAAGUUUAAGGUAAAACGAAUUUGUAAAGCAAUCUUAAAUGCAUAAUACAUAAGUCAGCUUAAAGAAUUAAUAAAAAUCUAAAAUAAAUAACAUGUGAAACUGUUUAAGAUAAAUGAAUAAAUAAAAGUAUAUGUAUAUGAAAAAUCAAUAAAAUAUAAAAAGAUUAAGUAUCGAAUUAGAAAAGAUUAAAAUCAAGGGUCCUAUCUAAAAAAAAUAAAAAGGGACGCAGGGCCUAAAAUAAGGCACACGUGAAAGAACAGGGGUUAAACAUGCAAUUAUUCCCCAACUCUGAAGAUGUAUGUCGAAUUUCGAAGCACCAGAGAACCGAGGGCUUAAUCAAAAAAACAAAAGAAAAUUAAACAGUUAAAUCUAUGAAAAGAUAAAAUAAUAAAAGGGGCCCGAGGUAAACAAGCCCAAAAUUGAAGGGACCAUGGGAGCGAAUAGCCCAUAGGAUCAAAACACACAGGUUCCCCCUAGACUGCGCCGUUUUGGGGCGUGGGGGUGUGUGUGUGAGGGUACAAAACGGCAGUGUUUUGCAUGGCCAUUAAAGCCCCAAAUUUUUUUCAUUUUUAACUUCAUUUUCUUUCAAAAAAAAAGACAGAGAGUCUUCCUACUCUCUCUCUCCCUUUUCUAUUUUUCCUCCCUUGCAGAUAGGGUUUCGAGACCCAUCCUCGCUGCCAUCGUCUGACCGCCGCACCACCACCAUACUCGGUGGCCGGCAAUGCACAAGAAUAGGCCAUUCGGCCUUGUUCCAAAAGAGUUUGAAGGCCUAGCCUUCUUGAGUCGAAAAGAACCGAAAGAAAGGGCCCUCACCCCUCUUUUAGCCCCGACGAUGGAGGAGAGACCUCCCGCGAAGCAACCACAGGCGGUUCCGGUAAGGUUCUUCUCUUCCUUUUCUUUUUAUUUUAUGGCUACUCUUAUUUAAUAGAUUCGUGUUAAAAUAAAAAGGAAAUAUUAGAGAGAUGAAAAACGAAAUGGAAAUAAAGAAAGUAGAAUAAGAGAUCAACCUUUUGUGUUUUUUUCUUUUUAUUUCCAAUGUUCGUUUGAUACGAUUUUUAUAUAUUCAAAGGUUCCCCCUUCCGUUCAGUCCUUCAUUUCGGGUUUUAUAACCCCUUUUUACAUCCUUUUUCUAUUAUUCUAUCCUGUUUUUUUUGUCUUGAUCUUGCAGGGCAUGGAGGUGCUGGUAGUGGAGGAGGAGCAUGCAGCGGCAGAUGGUGUCAGACGCGUGGACACGCGAAGCCAGCGAUUGGCGAGUAGCGGCGGUGGGCGUGCGCAGGAGGUGGCAGCAACAACAUGCGGCUGAGGUUUCUUUUUGUGUUUGAAAGUUGGUGUAGUUUUGGGCCAUUCGGGCCUCUAGGGUUUUUAUUAAUAUUGGGCAUUUGGGCUUGUAGUUUUUGGGUUUAAAUUGGCUGAAAAUGGGUUGCUUUUGUUUUUAUUAUUUGGGUCUAUUUUGCUGGUAUGGGCCCGGGUAUUUUAUUUUCUGAUUUAGGCCAUAUUGGCCUGCUUUAAUGGACUGUGGCAUUUUAUUUAUUUUGUUUUAUUUUUGGCACUUGGCCCGGCAAAUUUGGGCUUCUACAGGUUUUUUUAAUUUAAUUUUGUUUUAUUUAGUUUUUCAAAUAAUAUUAUAUUACCUAUCUGAACUCGAUGAUUUAAAACAAAUGUAUUUUACGUGUUAUUCUUUAAUUUUUAAAUAUAAGGCAGUGGUGUAUCAAAUAUUUGCCAAUGUGAUGAAUUCCUCAAAUUUUGAGUUUUCAACAAAUUUGCUUACUCUGAAAAUGUAAUGAAUUGAAAAAAAUAGGCAGCAGUAAACAAAUGUAUAUAAAAUAAUUCCAUAAUUUGUCCAACAAACAUAAAUAAGCCACUUUCAAAACAUAAGCAAUCAUUUAGGAGUUAAAUCAUAAAACAAAAUAUAAAGAGGGGUAAUUUUAUAAAUAUUUUGGACCGGGUUUACCUUAAACCCAACCCAAACUGAAACUAAUUUUUAGAAGAAACUUGUUGAUUUCGGGUUUUUCUUGUUCAUCCCUAAAUAAAACACGUAUUGAUAAUUUAAGUAUUAUAUUAGACUUUUUCAAAGUACAGACACCAUAUUAAACAUUUUAUGAAAGUGCAUGUAUCAUAAUAAAACACAUAUUGGUAGUUUAGGUACCAUAUUGAACAUUUUCAAAAUACACAUGCCGCAAUAAACAUUUUGUGAAAGUGAAGUUACUAAAUUUGACAUUAUCCCUUAGAAGAGUCGGAUUAGAACAGAAUACUUUUUUCUUUUCUUUUCUGCUUUGUUAGAACAUAAUACAUAUUAUAAUUAAAUAUGAUGUUAAACUAUUAUACUAAUGUAUAUAAUACAAAAUGUUUAAUGCGUCUUUUUAUUUUUAUUUAAAAUUUUGAUGUAAUAUCUAUAUUUACCUUAAAAUCAUUCAGUAGGUGGUAAUGCUGUUAUUGUAACAAUAAAUAAAAUAUAAAUUCAAAGGUGUUUAAUUUUUUUAUUUAAAAAUUUGGAAAUUAUAUUAAAAGAAAGUAUGGUAUGAACAAAAUCAUUUAAUUGCUAUUUAUUUUGUAAGGUUGUGGGAUUAAAUUUAGGGAGACAAUUGAUCUAGACAUGAAAAAUUUUAAAAAUAAAUUAUCAAAAUUUAAAUUGAAUUAAUUUGAUUGGCUAUUGUGCUGGGAAGACUUUGACCUAAUUGGAGGAUCAUUUUUCAUUCACAAAAAUGGAUUACAGAAAAGUCGGUCUUAAUUAAUUAAUGGCUAAUGAUAAAUUUGAUCACUAAUAUUGGCAUAUUUUGUCAAAAUGGCCCUAAUUAUAUUUUUGAGACUUUUUUUGUCAUCAACCUUUGAUUUUUUUUCAAACUAUUUUUUCUAACAGAUUUAAUGAAUAAAUUCAAUGUUUCAAUCUUUCUUUCUUUUUCAAAAGGUUUCAAUAUUUCAUACUGUUUGUUUAUUGAGAAAUUUUUCUAUUGAGUUAAUUUUUUUUAGAUAAUUACGUUUAUUUUAUUUAAAUUAAGAGUUUUUUUUUAAAUUUCAUGUAUUGUUUAUUUAUUUUAUUAUUUUCCAUAUGUAAUUAUCUUCUAUGAUUAUUUAAGUAAUAAAUUAGAUAUUAUUAAAAAUAUUCCACAUAUGAAAUUCCACAUCAUCCCCUUUUUAACCUUUUUUAAUGAUACUUUUCAUCAAAUCUGUUAAAAAAACAACUUGAAAAAAGGAACAAAAAUUGAUGGCCAAAAAAAUUUAAAAAAUACAUUUAAGAUCAUUUUGACAAAAUAUAUAAAUGUUGGUGGCCAAAUUUGUCAGUAAACAUUAACCGGAGAUUAGAUUGUUACAAAAAAAAAUUCGCAUGUUUUUAUUAAUUAAUUAAUACAUUAAAAUUAAAAUAGGAAGUUGAACUUAAAAUUUAACCAAACACAGUUAAGUAGUUUGAUUCAUUUCGAAUUAAAGAAUUCAGAAUGUCAGAAUGAAAGGGUUCGCUUUGACCGUUAAGAGCAGGUAACCCGUUCCCUGUGUUUUUGUUUCUAUUGCAUUCUAUCUCAUCGUAUCACAUUCUGUUCUGCGAUAUUUGUCUUAUUCAAUUAUUUCUCUUUAUGACCCAAAAAGGAGCCGUCCUUUAUAUUAGUUGAAAGUUGAAACCUUGAAUAAAGGAAAAUUUGUGAUAUAUGAUCAGAAUGUAGAAUGUCUUUCAAAAAAUUAUUACUUCCUGCCAUUCUUAAUGAGUUGUAGAGUUGUAAUUAGCUGUCUCUUAUAGUGCAUUCAUAAAAACAUUAAUUAUACUUCAUUGUCUUUUUACAUUCUUCUAAGUAACUUAACAUUACAAAACAAAGGGAAAAAGAAUUGUGGGCAAAAAAGAAAAACAAAAAAAACCUGCAUCUUGCAUCCUAAAAUUGUGACAUUUCCUCACGAGUUCUGAUUUCUAUAAUUUUCAAACACAUUGUUCAAAGUUUAGACCCUUUACAAUUCAAAAUACUAGCAUUUCCUCAACUUUUGUUUAGUUGUUUUCUAGAAAGAAAAUUCUUAACAUUUUCUUCCUUUGAAUUCCUCAUCUGCCUCCACUAUGUACAUUUCAGCUCUCUUUUUCUCUGGGGAUAUCCAACGUUGUUCUGCUUCUAACUCUAUUUUUCCCGAGUUAAAUGAUGUUUGCAUGAAUUGGGUUGCUUAUCCUUUUGUCUAUAUCAUUCCUAGUCUUGACUUUAAUGAUGUUUGCAUGAAAUGGGUUGCUUUUCUUCUCUCUAUUGCUGUUACGAUGAUUCGUUUUUUUUUUAUUGCAACUGAAGUAAUGUUUUAAAUAUAGAUUUUAUUUUUAUUUUUUAAAAAAAAAGGGGUUUAAUCUGUACUUUUCUCACUCUUUCUUUCGUCUGAUUAUCAAGUGGUAGGUUGUUAACUUGUUUUUUUCCCAAAUUUUAAACAUAUUUCUCCACCGGUUGUUCACUGGUGGAGAUUCCCUUCAGGUUCUCGCACGCUAAUUGUUUUAGUUUGCUGAAGAAACAUUUCUAAUCUGUUUUUUUUUUCUUCUUCUCUAAAUACAGGUCUUAUGGUUUUCAUCAAACUUUAAGGCCUUUUAGCGGAUCAUAUCAAUUCAGAUUGAAGCGGGUGUUUCAUCCAAGUUCCAACAAUGGUUCUUGGCCUAAGAACUAAGAACAGAAAAGGCUGCUUACAUCAGCUUGUUUACACCGUAAAUGUGAAGGAGAUUAAUCCUUGGACACCAUUGCAAUCACUGCGAUCGGCUCAAUCUGUUUUGCUACAAUGGGAAACUGGUGAUAAGAGUUCUGGAUCCAUAGCUUCUACCAUUGAUAACGGAAAGAUUGAGUUCAAUGAAUCUUUCAAACUUCCAUUAACUUUACGUCAAGAAGCAUCCCGUAAGAGCACGAAUCAUUUGAGUUUCCACAAGAACUGUUUAGAGUUUUACUUGUAUGACUCUCGGAAAGAAAAUGUGUCAAAAGCUCUACUUCUGGGAUCUGCUAUUGUAAAUCUUGCUGAUUAUGGAAUUAUCAAGGAAACUAUAUCCAUUAGUGCUCCUUUUAACUUGAAGAAGAGUUCUAGGAACAUAGAACAUCCUGUUCUUUAUCUUAAUAUCCAACCUUUUGAUAAAGAUAGCUCGAGCGCUUUGUCGAAAGAAGUGUCAUUAGACAAGGAUGGCAGUGAAUGUGUUUCUGAAUUCAUAAAUGAAGGAAAUGAUGAGGAAAUCGAGAUUGCUUCUUUUACUGAUGAUGAUGUUGAUGAUCUUUCCUCACAGUCAUCCCAUAUUACUUCUUCUUCUUCUGUUUUCGAUCAUUCUAGAGAGUCACAUAUUCAACAUGAUAAGGUACUUAGGUUCAUCAUCCUCCUUUUGUUCUUCAUUUCCAUUUUCAUUGAAUUGUCUGUUAACUGUUGUCUUUGAAUUGGGGUAUAAGAUUGGAUUGGAUUUAUGAAUUUGGCUUGGAGGACUUUGAUCCUUGGGCAUUACCAUAAGUACUGCUUUUUGAGGACUUAACACCGUCCUACUUAGACACUCAUGUAUGCUACUCUUAGUAGUGUUAAUUGAAAUUGCAUAUAUUUUGCACAUGCAAUUUUCUGUAUAGUUACAAUUUGUUUAGUUAAUAUGGGGAAUGGGUUUUCAUCUUGGGACCUUUUCUUAAGUUAAGGGGUAGCUGGUGAUUUUAGGCUAUGGCUUGACUUGAAAAUCACUAGCAGCAAUAAGAUGAGCCAAAAUUAGUUUUGGGAACACAUCAGAUGGUUGUUUCUUAUCAUCCGCUACCACCAUGAUUCUAUUCUGGGAGGUCUGUCGUAGUUCUGGUUAAUUUGGUGGCUGUCAAUGUCAUCUUAACAAAGCUAGAAUUUCUGAAUGUUUAAUAGCAUGUCACUGUUGAUUACAGAAUCAAUCAGAAUCAGCCACUGGUGGGUUUGAAAGGCUUGGGCUCACGCUUCCUUCUGCUGGAACAAAUGUAAACUCGGGGGUAAGUCCAAUUGUUGAAGCAUUCAAACAAGUGAAUGGCAAUACUUCUCCUUCAUCUUCAGUGGACUUGUGCUCCAACUCUAUGAAUCCUGUAACUAAUCCUAUGGCUAAAGUUGCAUCCCGGGAGCACGGUGGUACUACCAUUCCAGUAGAGACCAACUUAGACCAUGUAAAGGAUGAAGAUUUGUCCAACAACCCCAAGAAUCUUGUAACUUAUCCCAAGGCUGAAGUAGCAUCCUCAGAGACAAGUGUUACCAUUCCGGUAAAUACGAAUUUAGAAUAUGUAAAAGGUAAAGGUUUAUCCAACAACCCCAAGAAUCCUGUAAGUUAUCCCAUGGCUAAAGUUGAAUCUGCAGAGACGAGUGUUACAAUUCCAGUAGAUACGAAUUUAGACCAUGUAACAGAUAACGGUUUGCCCAAUAGCCCCAAGAAUCCUGUAACUUCUCCUAUGGCUAAAGUUACAUCCUCAGAGAGGAGCAUUACCAUUCCAGUAGAUAUGAACUUUGACCAUGUAAAAGAUUCCCAUGCCAAAAGAGAGGGUGAUAGGAAAGCAUUGAGGCAUGACCAAAGUCAUGUAGACAGAUCUUUAAGUAGCAUUUCACAUGUUGGUCAGCGGAAGGAAAAUGAGGAAAAGACACUGUGGGAAGUUGAGCUGGAUAGCCAGAUUUUAAAUGCCAAGGAAUACUCUCCGCAGGACAUGUUAGGUUUUAUACCGACUCAAGAUUCUACAGAAAAUAAAAUCAGUUGGAGGAGUAACACUUUUGCGUCCAGCUGUGAAACAACUGAAGUCAAAGGUGGCUUCAUUGCAAACGAUGGACAGAAGCAUGCGGCACCUGUUCAAUUGCAUUUUGACAACAAUGGCCUGUCAAAGAAGAUCCAGUUUAUGGAGAAGGCAAAGGAACAUGAUAUUUCCGAGGAGAUUUCUAAUGGUAACUCAAGUGAUAUGCAUAGUGAAAGGGAAGAAACAGUGAACAACUUUUCUAACAGUAAAUUUAACUCAGGUAACAGUUAUGGGCCACUAAAGAAUACUAAGUUCAUGGAGAAGGCAAAGGAAUCUGAUAUUCCUGAAGAGAUUCAUAAUGGUUCUACAAAGGAUACAUGUAAUGAAAGCGAAGAAGAUGCAAAUAGCUUUUCCAACAGCAAAGUUGAACUGGAGUCCAAAAUUGAAAUGCUUGAACAAGAAUUGAGAGAAGCUGCUGUUGUUGAGGCUAGUCUUUAUUCUGUUAUUGCAGAGCAUGGGGGUUCUGUAAACAAGGUUCAUGCUCCAGCUAGACGACUUUCUAGAUUCUAUAUCCAUGCUUGUAGAACAAGUAACCCAGAUAAGAGGGCAAGUGCUGCUAGGGCUGCUGUUUCAGGAUUGGUUUUGGUCUCUAAAGCCUGUGGAAAUGAUGUUCCAAGGUGUGUUCUUACACUUCCUGUAAUUUUUUUCCCUUUUAGAAAAUGGAACUGGAAGAUUUUAGAUUCUACCUUCUCUACCACCAAAGAUGUUAGUUUGGUUUGCAUGUUGAUCAUUCCUAUCCCAUUAUUCAUAGGUUAACCUUCUGGUUGUCAAAUUCAAUUGUACUGAGAGCAAUUGUGAGCAAUGCUAUUGGGGGAAUUCAGCUAUAUUCUGGACCAUGCUUAAAUAGUAGUAGCGAGGGAAUGGUGUUGGAGGACAACUCCCAUCUGCAAGAGGAAUGCAAUUCAACGGAAAGUUUUGAAGAGUGGGUGGACCCUCAGACGUUUCUACUUGCAUUGGAGAAGUUCGAAACUUGGAUCUUCUCCAGAAUAAUUGAGUCAGUCUGGUGGCAGGUCAGUCCUUUCUUUUAAAAGCUUAGUGCAUAUCGUCUUCUAAGUGCAUAUCUAAUGCUAUUUCUUCCUAUAUACUUGCCAGACUUUGACUCCACAUAUGCAGUCGGCUGCUGCAAAGAGCUCAAGCUCAAGGAAAACAUCAACCAAAAGAUAUGGAUUAGGCGAUGAAGAGCAGGGGAAUUUUUCAGUCGAGCUUUGGAAGAAGGCUUUUAAAGAUGCCUGCGAGAGGCUUUGUCCCAUUCGAGCAUGUGGACAUGAGUGUGGUUGCUUAUCCAUGCUGGCUAAAUUGGUAUUAUGAUACAUUUUAAGUUAUUUUUAUUUUAUGCAUAAAGAACUUGGCCUUGAAGUCUAUCCUUGUUUAUGUUCAUUAUGUCUCUUUGUGAUAUGAUGGGGCCAUGUCGUUGUUUCUAUCACAUUAAUUAUCAAAUUGUUAAUGUUGUCGACAUGCAAAUUCGAGAUUAGGUCAUGGAGCAAUUGGUGGGUAGAUUGGAUGUUGCAAUGUUCAAUGCUAUUCUUCGUGAAUCAGUGGACGAAAUGCCAACAGAUCCUGUUUCUGAUCCUAUAUGUGAUUCAAAGGUUCUUCCCAUUCCUGCAGGAAAAUCAAGCUUUGGGGCUGGUGUACAAUUAAAAAAUGCUGUGAGUAUUUGGUUGCUCUUUCUGUUGAGCUACUUUAGUACUUAAUUGCCUCUAUGAUUCGUAAGUUCUGAACCCGUUUCCAUAUAUUUAAAGAGAAAUCCACCCAACUUACAUUUUACUGAUGUUAAUAUUUUUAUAUGCACAUCAAAAGUACACAUUUUCAUAUAUUCGUUUAAUAACUCAUCUGCUGCUGGAGAUAGUUAACUGUAUCAAUACCUGCAAUUCCAGCCUAUUAAUAUGCUUUACCUUCUGCUUUAUUUUCUCUCUUUAACUUAACACAUGAUUUUAUCCGACAGUCGGAAAUUUCAUUCACUUCGAAGAAGUUAAAUGCUUGAACCUUGUGAUCUCUUGUCCCCCAAAUAUUUUAUUAAGAAUUAAUUUAAGCAUGCAAAAGCUUAUUAUGUGUUUAACAUUUGACUAAGAGGGAUCUUUUUUCUAUUGACCUUGCCUUAGCAGAUUGGAAACUGGUCAAGAUGGCUAACUGAUCUAUUCGGUAUUGACGAUAAUGACGGUCCUGAAGAUAGCAACGAAGUUGAUGAUGACAAAAAAGCAGGAUUUGAGGCUUCCUUCAAGGCCUUUGGUCUCCUCAAUGCAUUGAGUGAUCUCAUGAUGCUUCCAUCCGAUAUGCUUGUCAAUCGGUCCCUGAGGAAGGAGGUAUAGUUCGGAAUCAUGUAUAUAUGUAUCAUCAUACAUAUUUAGUCUUGUAUAUAUCUCAUUCUUCUGUUGCAUCCUUAUUCAUGUUGAAGGUAUGCCCCAAAUUCAGCCCACGAUUGAUCAUCAAGGUUCUUAACAAUUUUGUGCCUGAUGAAUUCAAUCCGAACCUAGUUUCAGAGGCAGUUUUUGAAUCAUUGGACGAGGUUUGUCAUGACAUAACCCCAAAAAGAAAAAGUUUGCUUAAAAUGAACUUUCCACUUCUUUUGUCAACCCGGAAUCUUCCAAGUUUAUGGUGCUGAAUUUUAUUUUUCCUGACGGAUCCGUGUUCUCGUAUUCAGGAUAAUUCUGAGGUUGGGGACGAGUCUAUUGCAAACUUUCCAUGUAUGGCAGCUCCAACAGUGUAUUCACCACCUUCGGCAGCUUCCCUAACAGGCAUUGUCGGAGAGGUCGGAAGUCAAGCCUUGCGAAGAAGUAGAUCAGUGCUUAGAAAAUCAUACACUAGUGAUGAUGAGCUUGAGGAGUUGGAUUCACCCAUCACCUCGAUCAUUAUCGAGAACCGCAGCGAUUCAACCGAUUCAAAAUCACUGAAUUGGAUGAGAAUAGGAAAGGGAGACCGAAAAGUAAUUCGAUAUCAAUUAAUCCGAGAAAUAUGGAAAGAAGGCGAAUGGUAAAAUUUCUUAAGUUUUAACCCCCUCCCACUGUUCUUCACUGAACAUGGUUUUGUAUAUAAGCUCAUGACUUAUAGGCUGGUGUAUUAAGUUGUUGGAGUUUAACAGAAAUCGGUAUUUUCCAUCAGCUAUUCUUCUAUUUAUUAAGAGCUCAUAUCGUCUAUGUUAUGUUUUUUUUGCAUGCCAACACAAUCAAGAUACUGCAAGGGCAUGUACGGAAAAGGUAAGCUUAGACUUAAAUCUAUUUGCUCGUUUAAUCAAUAUUUUUCAAUUGGAUCAUUUUAAAUUAUCUUUUUUAUUUUUAAAAUUUUAAAAUUUUAAUCUUAACAAUAACAAACUAAUAUAACAUUAUGUUGUUUGUUCCAGAACCUUUAAGAGCUUUCUAGAAUUGCUUUGAGAAAGGAUGACUCAUUAUUUUUACUGAUCUGUAGAAUUGGUUACUCCAGCUAACCAACUUUGUCUUCUUUGUUACCAAUUUAUGUAUAAAUCUGCUACCUGUUAUUGGAAAAGGGGAUUGGUUAAAUGACAUUUCAGUUUGCCCCUCUAGUUUGUUGUUUUUUUCUAAUCAUGAUUUAUUUUCUGACUCAUUAUACAUAUAAUCAUAUAUUUGCCCCUUAAAAAAAUGGUUUGCAAAUUUUAAAAAUAAUACCACUUCAUAAAUUUGAUAGUUAUUAUUAGAAAAAACUCUUUUGGUUGGUGUAAGUGGAGAAAAAACCAAUUUCCCUUUGGUUGGUAUCAUAUAUGUAAGGUAUUUUUAAAGAAGGAAGGUUCAGAAAAAUUUGAUAUAGAUUAAAAUUUUAUUACUAUUUUUUAUGAAAAUAUAUUUUCAACUAUUAAAUAAAUAUUAAUAUAUACAAUUUGAUUGAUAUGAUACAAAUAUUGGAUUGGUUUGAAAAUUUACAUUCAUUCCAACUGACAAGUACAAUUGUAUUGAUUAAAUGCUAAAAUUACAUAAUUUAUAUAAUUAAAUUGGUUAAUUUAUGAGAGUGCACCACUGAUUUUUUCAUGUUUAUAUUGAAUUUUGUGCAAUGAUACAAUUUGGGGCUAAAUAGAAGAAAAAGGAAACAAUUGGACUAGAUUGAAGAAAGGAGCAAAGAAGGCGGGACAAAGCAGAAUUUUUCUAAGAUUUAAUUAGCUGAAAUUCUAUGUUGACUAAGUGGAGUUUAUGUAGGGAUUUUUUAUAUCAUGGAAUAUUUUAUUUUCUUGAUUUUCUAUGGCUAGUGGCUCUUAAUUUAGUAAAGCCACUAGUAUAAAUAGGGGGCUACUUGUUCAUUUAACCAUCAAGUCAUUAAUCAAGUUUUUAAUUACCAAGUUUUUUUUAUUAAAUUUUGCAUCAAGUUCUUUUUAAGCUUUUCAUCAAGUCUUUCAUCAAGUGUUUUUCAUCAAGUUUUUAAUCAAGCCUUUAUCUUUUGAAUUCAAUCUUUUCUUUUCUUUUUGCAAAUUUAUUUGCUUACAUUGACUCCUUAUAUUUUUCCAUUUAUUAGUUUCCAGCUUUGGAAAUACUGCACCGAAACCUUGCGUCACGCACAUCCAUCCAUUUACAUUUUUUUUUAUCCAACCCUCUCCAAAUAUGCCUAACUCCAACAUGCCCAAAGCCUUAGUCAACUAAAUCCAUUUCAGCUUUAGGUCGGUGUUAGCUUCGUCAAGACCCGUGAGUUACAAACCCGAGCAAUUUAACUCCUAAAUUUCAGUACUUAUUAUUUCUCCAGAUUAAGAGUAUGAUUUUGUCAACUCACAAAGUCAAAUCAACACUAAGUCAAAAAAGACGUCGUUUGAGUUAAUGUGGUUAGACGUACAGUUGGAAUUCCGAAAUGAUAGAUUGUCUAAUCGAUUUUCCGUGAACACAUUUCAGGUUCCAGGUUCCAUGAACCUAAAACCUAUGGAACCUGGAACCUGGAACCUCGAAAAAACCCGUGCCUAAAGCUGAGCUUAGUUUAAUUAAUUUUUCUUCAGAUUUAUUUAACUGUUUUUAUUAUUUUAUUUUCAGCUUUUACUUUUCACGCAUUUUUUCCUUGUUUAUUUCAGGUUUCAGGUUUUCAAUUUUAUCCUCUCCCCAAAUUUUUUGGGCACGACAACUACCCAGACACAAAUCUAGUCGAGAAAGAGAAACAAUUUUCAAUAAACCCAGUCUCUAAGGGAUCGACCCUACUCCCUAUACUGCUUAAAUUACAAAUUAGGCGUAGAUUUAUAUUGGUGGACUCGACACCCAUCAUGUAUCCAUAAAUUCAAUGGUUAGAUCGUUAAAAUAUUAGUAGUGCAAAGAAAUUUAUUCAAUUUAUUUUUUUCAUAAGUUAAAUAUUAAGUUGGUUUUAAAUAAGUUUUUAUUAUAAAUAUUUAUGUAAUUAAUUUUAUUUUAUUUUUUUGCAAUCAAUUCAAGUAACUUUUAAUGUUUCAAUAUUAAAAUUAGUGAAUAGUUAAUUGUUAAACUUAAAAUAUAUUUUAUAUUAAAAAAUAUUAAUAAUGUUGAUUAAAUUAAAUUUAUAAAUAAUAAAUAACCUAUAAAAUAGUAUAAAAUAUUACUUAAAUUAUAAAUAUUAAUAUUAAUAAAAUAUCGAUUUUUAUUGUUUUAAUCUUAAAUAUUUUCAAGAUUAUAUGCUAUUAAUAUAAUACAUUCUAAAUUAUUUAAAUAUUUUUAAAAAUAUUGUAUAGUUAAAUCAAUUUUUAAAAUCAUUAAGAAUUUAAACGAUUAAAAAAAUUAUAUAAUUACCAUACAUAAUUGUCCAACCGUGCAUUGCGCAGGAUAUGACAUAUCAUAUGUAAAGUAAGGUAGGGGGCAUUUUAAGAAAUUUUGAGUUCCAAAGUGUGACAAGUGUCACCACUAAAUAACAUCUGUUUAAUUGGUGAAACACAUUCAUUAAAGAUAAUAAACAAAUUUGGAAAUGAUCCCUAUAAUUUCAAUGAGUAAUUUCAAUUAGUCCUUAUUUAUGAGCUGUAAAUUGUGGAAUAUGUUAGUUUUUCUUCCCUACAUACUAAGAUAAUCAUAAUUUUUACAACAUUAACUUCCUUUUUCUUAUUAAACAAGCUAUCCUUUAAAAUUAUUACAUAAAACUAUUGAGUAUAUUUUUUAAAUACAAUUAAUCUGUGUACUUAAUUAAAAUAAAAAUGACUUUUCAAUAAUCAUAACAAGUUAGUAUACAUUAUAAUAUUGCAAAAAUUAAAAUAGGAAUUAUAACAACAUUUUGGAACAACUUUUUAAGGCAGAGAUUGAAGAUAUUAAAUAUUAGAAAUCAAGAGUUCUUUUUAUAAAUUCUAAUCUGACUCAUUUGUUAAUUUGGAAGAAUAUUAGUAAUUAAUUCAUCUUUAUUUUAAACAUUACUUUCUACAAAUUAAAUAUUUAUAUUAAUUUAUUAUUAUUUUUCAAUAUUAAUAUUAUUGAAAUGUUACAAAAUUUAAUUGAUACAUUCAACCAAAUAAAGAAUUAAUCAUUGAAAUAUGAUUGAUUGAUAUUGGUCAAUAGACCUAUUCAUAAAUCAAGUUAUCCAUUCAAAUCGAAACAUUCGCCCAAAUUUUAAGAUUUGAAAAAUAAUAUUAAGCCCAAAAAAUAAGAUCCAUUUAAAAUAUGAAAUAAGCUUUAAACGUUCAAAACUAAACUCAUUUUACAAUUUAAUGUUUUAUAUCAUGUUAUUUUAUAUAUUGAGUAAUUUAUAACACAUAAAAAUUAAAUCUAUAAUAAAAUAUAAUACUAAAUAUUAAAUAUAUAUAAUUAUUACAAUUAUUUAUUUUUAUAAGUUAAGAUAUAUUUUUAAAAAUAACAAAACAAGCUUAAAAUAAACUUAAAUUAACCAUUUACAAAUCUAAACAAAAUUAUCAAAAUUUUAAACCAAUAUUUCAAAUCCCACCAAAUUUGAGUAAAUAUAAACUAAAUUCAUAUUUUUAGGUCAACUAAAACCUAAUUCAUUUUAUAAGCACCUCUAUUGUCUAGAUUUAAGAAUGAAAAAUUCAAAACAAGUUUUGAUUGAGAAAAAUCAUUCUAAAAUUUCAACUCAACUAAUUAGCAUAACAUAUUAUUUAAUAUAUUUAAAAUUCAACUUAAAAUAUUUACAACCUACUUUAAUUACAUCGGUAUUUAAAACAAGUACUUCUGUUUCAAAAUUUCAAAAAGGUACAAGCGCUCAAGGAUAAACAACCAUCCUUCAAUACAAUCAAUGUUAACGAUGAAAUCAACAAAAUCUUAUCAUUUGUACUUGUAUAUUGCUAUUCUUUAAUAUUCAUCAUCUAGAAAUAUAGCACUGUGUCAAAACAUAUAAACACAAACACAGUCAUUUAGCAUAUUAAUUUAAAUACCUUGGAUUUUGACUUGCAAGUAAUAUUAUGAGGAAAAGAUAUUUAUAGAUUUUGAUGUAAAUUUUGAGAUAAAAAGAUGUAGCGACCUGUUCGAGGCCACGAUCAAAACGAAAAUGAAGUUAAUGGGCACGGAGAAUCGCUCAAUGAUAUUGCCAACCUUCAAUGCAAAUCACGCCAUCAAUAAUUAAUUGACGCCUUUGCUCUGCAAAUUGGCUUUCUUUUAAUAAGAAGCAAAAGAAAAAUAAAAAAAUCUUUAGAAGAGGAGCAGCUGUGAGAUGGCAGAUAUAGAUUUUUGGAAGAAGGGUCGUUUAUAUAGAGGGUGGUGAAGAACCAAAACCCUAAGUCGAGAUUGAAUUAUUACUGUAAAAUGGCCAAAAAUACCCUUCUUUUUAUAGCUUUUUGCGCUUUUGUGGGAGCAGGGCCUGGAUGAGUUUGUUGUGGGCUCAAUUUUCAUGCUUAUAUUAGGCUUAAUUCAUUGUUCCGCUCUUAAAAGUAUAUAUAUUUUCCCAUUUUGGUGUUUAAAUUUUUUAUUUUAUAACCAUGGUUUUAAAAUUAUGUUAGGCAAUUUUGAUCAAUGAAAAAGUGUCACAUGACAUGUUUUGGCCAAUGAAAAAAUGCAUCAUGUAAUUAAGUUUAUUUAAAAUAAAAAUAUUAAAUUUAAAUUUUGGACGACGCAACGUUAUUAUUAAAAUGAGUGACGUCAAGAUGAGCUAGGGCUUGUCGCUGCGACGUGACAUAUUGUGAUGGUUAUAUCAUGACAAAAACUAGAUAAAGUCGCAACUUCAAUCCAUAUAUUUUAAAAAUUUUGCAAUGUGAUCCUAUUUUAUACUUGGGUUGAUAAAAAAGCUCUUAUAAGCUCGAUUAAAGCUCUAGACUAUUUGUUUAACCUGGAAUGAAUGGGGUUAACAUUGAAUAGUAUGUGUAAAUGUUUGUUUUAAUGUGAACUUGAUGGUAGUUGCUCCGGCAACGAAUGUAACAUUCUAUAGCUCAAAUCCAACAAUUAGGCCCAGCGAAAGGCGUUACAAUGAGUCUUGAUUUUUUAUGUCUGGAGAUACAUUUAGCUUUAGGGUGUUUUUUUAAUUUAACUUAUGUAUUAAAUGAUAAAAUGAAUAUCAUAAAAAAAUUAUCAUUUCAAUUUGGUUUUUAAAAUUUAAUGGGUAUUGGGUUUUAAAGUUUUAAUGGGUUUUGACUUUUAAAAGUAUUGAGUAAUAUGUAUUUUAAUUUAAGGUUUAGGGUUUAGAGUAUUUGAGUUUAUUAUGUAUUUGAGUAAUUACCAUUUACAUACUCAAUCCCUGAGGCAAGGAUCGGUCUGAUCUUACGAAGAGAACUCUAUAAUUCAAAAAUGUUCUUAAUAGCAAGUAGGUUUCUCGAGUCCUAAAGAUAUUUAGCUUUAAGAGUUUGAACCCAAAGACUAAUAUAUUCAUAUAUUAAUCCCCAACCCAAUUUAAUUGGGAGGGCUUGAUUUUUCUUUUGGGUGAGGGGAUACCUAAUUUAAUUUUGGUCUAUGUGCUAUACUCGAAUUUAAUAUCUAAUCUUUAUACUACAAAUUUUUUUAUAUAAAUUGGUACUUCAAUUUUUACAAUAUCAUUUAUUAGCGCAAAUACUUUAUUUGAUUAAAAUGUUUAUAUACUUUUAAAAGUUGUAAACAAUGUUAAAAUCAUUUGUUAAAAUUAAGUCUAUUGUAGUGCUUUUUUCUAUUACAUUGGUAGCAAAUUGAUACAUGCAUGGAUGGGGUGAAAUUUAUUAAAUUCCAUUCACCGAAACUACCAAUUUUUAAGUUUGGAAAAUCAGUAGACUUACGGCGACUUUUUGGAUGGGAUAUUCUAGACAUUUCUAGGUUGAGAUGUCUUCAUGGCGUUUAAAGAUCUAUCUCUUAGCUUCGAAACACAUUUUGAAUCACUUGAUUUUGAAUUCGGGAGCUCAAGUUAUGACCGUUUUAGUGAAGACUGUGCAAGUAGAAUUUCUAGACAGGAUUAUGACGGGAAUUACGAGUUUCAGGCUUUUAAUUUGAGUUUAAAUCAUAUUGGGUCCGAGUUUUAGGCUUAAUUUUUAUUAUAUAUGAGCCCGAUAUUGUAUUUAUCAGCUCUUAUUAUUUUAUUAUUUCAAAUUUUUAAUAACUAUUAAGUAGUUUAAGUUAUUUAGGAGUUUUAUGUCAAUAAGAAAGUUUAGUUUAAAACUACUUCUUGUUUAGAUUAAUUAGAAUUCUAGUAUACUUAAAAAUUUUAUUUAGAUUUAUUUAGCUAGCCUAUAUAUAGGCAUUUGCAUUGUACAUAAAAGAGACAAAUUUGUUUUCAUUAAUAAAAUUUUUAAUUUUGGGAGUUUGUUUCUUGUGCAAGAUUUAUUUCUUGUGAUUUUUAGAAGUAGUUUUAUUCUCGAUUUUUUUGAAAGAGUCAUGAGAAUUCAUUCUUCACCUUCCAAUUUGUCAAGGAUUAUUUCUUGGAGGAUUGAUUAAAGUCAUUAAUUGAGUUUGUUUGGAUUUAUAUCUUAAAGGAUUCAAUUGGAUAUUUAUCUUUCUAUCCAUCAUAGCUAUUGGUUUAUUCAAUUCAUCUUCCACUUUUAAAUUUUAUCUAUUUAUUUAUAUAUUAUUAUUUGUUCUUUGUUCUCAAAUUUCUUCUUUUACUGUUUUUGACUUCUUUAUUAUUAAAUUUGUUUAUUUCUUUUUUCAGAUCAGAUCCAAAUCUUUCCUUUUCGAGUUGAACAAUUUGAAUUCGAUUUGCUUCCACCUUUAGACCUAUCAAAAAUGUGUAUUUUUGUUUAAAUUUUAAAAUGUUACACUAACGAAUUUAACAAAAAAAGAUAAUGUUAACAAUUGAAUUUAAAUUUUUAAAUUUGAAAAAUACAGAAAUUAAAUUCUUAAAAGCGAAAACAUAAAAAUUAAAUUUCAAAUGUACAAAGGCUACAUAGACAUAGAAUAUAUUUUAAUCUUCAAAGAAACAUUAUUUAAAGAUUGUGUUUUAGAUUAAAUUUUAGUGUAUAUUGUAAAUAAUGUUUGAAUAUUAAAAUGUACUCAAAUUAUUCAAAUAAAGAAAGGGGCCCACUGGCCCAGUUUGAGCUGAUUUUGUCCUUUUUGGACGUUUUCGCUUUUAAAAAACAAACAAACUUAAAUUAGAACCAAAACAAAACAAACCCAUGUCGAAAAUCGAAAUGGCAGUUUUCGUAAAAUUUAACAAAGAAAAAAUUGGAAAAUGGUACGCCCACCGUGGGGCUCGAACCCACGACCACAAGGUUAAGAGCCUUGCGCUCUACCGACUGAGCUAGACGGGCAAUUUGAAAGUUCACCAAAAUAAUUCAAAAUACCUUUUACUUUGACUAAUUACAUUCCCGCAACAAUAUGUAGGAUUCUAUAAUUGAGAUAUGAACCCAUGUCUACAAACAAACUGUGGAAAGAAAAUAUCUUGGAAGUCAAAACUUGAAAAGUAUUUCAUAGCAAACAACUGUUGUAAAAGAAAAUGAAAAAUAUCAAAUUUUAUAUAACAUAAAUUAUUAGCUUAUAAAAUUUUUUAUAUAAACAUAAAAUAUAUUAAAUAAAAUUAUAAUACAAAAAAAGUACACAAAUAUGAAUUGAGUACACGAUUUUCUGGAUCUACUGUAUAUUAUCGCGUUUGUGCACUAAAGCCCAAGUGAAAGUACAUUUUCUAAUGCUCGGUUUUGAACAUACAGACAUUGUGAUUGAAUGAGUGGCUAAAUUUAAAGCUACUAUGACAAAAUAGAAUCUAAAGAAAGUGGAGCACUCGGACGAUCAUGGCCUGUGCUUCUUCAUUGUUGAUAAUAUCACAACACAAUUCUCUAUUUACUUCCAUCUGCUCCUUUUGAAAACACUGGAUUUCCACAGUUUUGGAAAUACGCAUGCUUUGGUUCAUCAUCUAAGGUUUGAAUAAAUAUAAUUUGCUUCAAUCAAAUUUUCUUGUUGGCCUUGUCAAUCCUUCUUCGUCAUUAAUUCUAUUACUGUGUUUUGAGCUCAAAUUUGCUUGGUUCCUACCAAGCAAAUCAAAGAUUUUCUCUUAUUCCAUUAUCACAUGAUCUUUCAUGCAACAUUAAUCUACCAUUUUAACUUGGUUUAUGAGUAUAUCGUUGGGUGCAAUAGUAAGUCAUAUUGUACUCUAAAAAAAUAUAAAUUCAAACCUGAAAAAUGACAUUAUUGAAACGGACAAUCACUAACCUCAAACGUUCAAGAUCAAAAACUUAUUUAUUCAAAGUCAAUUAAUACCCACUUAGAACCUUUUUUUGUUGAUACUAAAUAACCAAAAAUUAAAUAUAACAAUUUUGGAUAUGACUGGAUUCCAUGAUAUCCAUAUAACAAAUAAUUAAAAUAUAACAUAUAUUAAUGCACGAAUACAUAAAAAUUUACAAAAUUUUAAUAAUUUAAAAAAUCCUCAAUUUUUAUUAAAUCAAUUAAACUUUUUUUACACCCAGUUGACUUUCUGAAUUGAAAAAAAGGUAUUAAAUAAUUUUUUGACCAACAAAAAUCAUCUAUUGUUAAGUUGUAACUACCAUGAUUAGAUACUAAAACUAUAUUAUAGUGUAAAAUAAAAAGUAAACUAAAUACAUUGCACCGCAUCAAAUUAUCCAUCCAAACCCAUCCUAAAUGGUGGCUAAUGACGAUUGAUUCAGUUGAUUAUGAUGAAGCCACAUACCAUGUAUAUAAAAUGCUAACAUGAUAUAAAAAUAUAUAGAAGAUAUGGGAAUAUAAAAAAAUUUAAAAAUAAAAAAGAGUAAAAGAUUAUAACAAUUAUUAAGUGGAUCUAGAUAAUAUAUGGAAAAUCAAUAAAAAUAAUAAAUCUAUACAACUAUCUUUUUGUUUUUUUUGGGUAAACUACCUAAUUGGUCACUAAAUUUUUAGGGCAUUCUCAUUUUGGUCACUCAAAAUGCAAUCUUUGCAAUUUCGUCACUCAAUUUUUAGGGUGCUUUCAUUUUAGUCACCUAACCGUUAAAUCUAUAACGACAAUUAACUGUAUACGCCACAUCAUGAUCACACUUUCAUUUUGGUCACCCAACUUUUAGGCUGCUUUCAUUUUGGUCACCAAAUAAUAUCCUUUUUUUAAGUAUUGGUUAGGAUAAAAAAAGUUAACCAUUAAAGUGAAAAAGCGGUAGAACCUAAAAUAAUGCUUGUACUUGUUUACCCCCUUGGCAAAAGUUUAAUUUUUUUUUUGAAUAUUGAAAUUUUAAAUUUUAAAACAUCAAAAUCAAUUAAAUAAGUUAUUGACGAUUUUUUAUCCCUUGAUAGUAUCAACCGAUUUGUUACAAUAAUAUUGAAAUAAUUAAAUUAAUUAAUUUAGCCUCCUUUUAAAUUUUAAAAUUUUAUUUUAUGUUUCUAAAUUAAAAUAAACUGAAAUAAAUUAUUUUUAAUGAUUGUACAUGAAAUUUAGUUUUUUUAUUAUAUGAUCUCAAGUCUUUCCUACUAAGCUAAAAAUAAAGAAAAAUCUUUACAAUUAAUUUAAUUAAUUAAUUUUAUCUUCCAUGCCAAACAAACUCCAAAAAAAAUUUCAUCACUUCUUUACUAAAACGAAGAACAGACAAUUAAUUUAAUUAAUUGCAAUGAUUUUUCUUUACUUUUAGCUUAGCAUGGAAGAUUUGACAUUAUAUAAUCAAAAGAAAUUUAAGUUUCACAGACAAUUAUUAAAUAUGAGUUAUCGAGUUGAUUUCAUUAAGAAUAAUAUGGAAACAUAAAAUAAAAUUUUUUAUUUUAGAAAGAGACUAAUUUAAUUAAUUUCAAUAUCACAAUGACAAAUCGGUUAAAAUUAUCAAGGGAUAAAAAAUUUUCGACAAUUUAUUUAUUUGGUUUUAUCUUUUGAAAUUAAAAUUUUCAAUAUUGAAAAGAAAAGAAAUUUAGAAUUUUUGACAAUGUGAUAAACAAGUACAAUUUAAUAAUUUUUUAAUACAUUAUUUUAGUUUCUACCGCCUUUUCACUUUAAUCCUCAAUUUUUUUUACCCCAAUCAAAUACUUAAAAAAAUAUUUUUUUUGGGUAACCAAAAUGAAAGCUACCUAGAAGUUGGAUGACCAAAAUGCAAGUGUGAAUAUGAUGUCGUAUGUAUAGUUAAUCACCAUUAGAGAUUUAUCAAUUGGGUGACUAAAAUGAAAAUGCUUUAAAAGUUGGGUAACCAACUAAUCAGUUUACCUUUACUUUAAUCUUUAAUGGUUAUGGUCAAAUUUGAUGACUAUGGUCAAAUUUCAUCUUUAAUCCCUUUACUUUUUUGAGAUUAUACAAGAAUGGUUAAAUUUCAAUUUUGAUCUCUAUAGUUCACUCAAAUUUGAAACUGAAUCUCUAUACUUUAAUUUUGACAUAAUUUGGCACCUCGAUUCUUACAAUGUCAUUAGUUAAUCUAAAUACUUUAUUCUGAUUACAAUGCGUAUGUGAAAUUUUAAGGAUUGUUAACACCAUUAAAAUUCUCUAUUAAAUUCAAGUUCAUUACAGCGUCUUUUUUUUUGUUAUAUGGAUACCAAAUGAGUAUCUUUUUAAUUUCAAAAUGUUACGCUAACAAAUUUAACAAAAGAAUUAUAACAAUGUUAACAAACAAAUUUAAAUUAAGACUAAAUUCCCAAAAAUAAAAAUAUAAAAAUUAAAUUCUAAAUACUCGAAAAAUACUUUAUAAUAUUAUAUCUUUUAAAUUUUCACUUUAUAAUUUAAUUAGAAAAUAAAUAAUUAACCCAAGCGAAGAGAGUAAAACCAUACUAAUACAUACUAAUAAUUAAGAAUUCUCUUAUCAGAAAGAAGAAACACUCUCACUGCUCGGAGCCAGAGGGCAGGGCAGAGACUAUUUUGACCCAAUGAAUAACCAAAAAACUGAAAUAAUAAAAAGAGAACAAUAAUAAGAUAAAACCUUCCACAAGAAUGGAUUUGCCCAUUCGGUGGAGCCUCCAAUUCAUGCGUACUAAUUUGAAUCAAUUCCAAAAGGGAUAUAUAUUCUAAUUUAAACUUUGUAAUUUUGGCAAGAUUUGAUAAUAUAACUAAUGUUACUGGAAUAAGAUUAGAUCGUAUAGACUAAAAACUAAUUGGUAUAAUAAUCUGAACAAAAGGAUUAAACCGGCUAACUCAGAUCCUACUUGAAAUUAGUAAAAAUCAAAAAUUAGAAUAGAAAUCAACACCUGAACUAAUUUAAUAAAUUUCAUUUUUGAAAUUUUUUAUAAAUUUUUUAUUAUUUAUUUAAUUAUUGUUGGUUCGGCAAUUGAAUUGGUCGAACUAGUUGAAUCUGUUUUCGGUGGUUUGACUUGUUCAACCAUUGGUCUGAUUAUUAAAAUACUGAAUAUGACACUCUGAGCUUGUACCAUAUCAUUACUUGAAAGUUUAUAUAAAAUUUUUAAUUUUCAAGUAAUGAUAUGGCACAUUCUUAAAGUGCAACGUCAUCAAACUUUUAUAUUUUUUAAAUUUAGAGAUCAAAAUGAACCUAAUUGUUAAAUUCAAGUGCCAAAAUUGACAAAAAAGUAUAGGUACCAAAAUGAAUCUAGUUACCAAAUUCAGGAAAAAUAUUAUAUUAUCCCAUGACAAAAAUAGACUGUUUUUAAGGAAUCCAAUAACUUUGGUUGCUCCAUGUUAGAAUCUUUGUAGAUAGACCAAACUCUACUAUUUUGAACGAUGAGAAUGUUGGAAAAAUACGGUUUAGAAAAUGUGGUUGUUGCGUAGUGGAAGUUCAAUUUAUUUUUUAAAUUGAGCUUUUGUGAUAUUUACAACAACUAACCCUUUAUUCAAAUUAUACCUAUGUUUUCAGAAUAGGCAGAAUAGGUCAUUCUGAUCUUUCAACUUCUUGAACUUCUUCAUUAAUCUCGACUUUGGGUUGCUAGAGUGUGGGCUUUAUUUGUGAACCAAUUAACACUUGUGAAAACUUUCUAAGACUAAAAACCGAUUAUCUAAUAAAGUUUUUUUUUUACUUUUUAUUUUUUAAAAUCAUUUGAAUUUUAAAUAAUUUAUAUAUAAAUUUUAAUUUAUAAAUAUUUUUUUAUAAUUUUUCUAGAACUUUUACAAUUUUAUAUUUUUUCUAUUCUUAAAAAUUUAAAUUAUUUACUGAUAUAAUAUAAUAAGACAAAAUAGUAUUAAGUCUGUACAGACCCAUUUUGCCCGAGCCCAAACGACCCAAUACCCAAACUCAUUACAAACCCAAAUAACCCAACAAAAUAAAAUCAAGCCCAAAAUGCCCUAGCCCAUUUUCAGAAAAAUUGGCAGCCACCUAACCCUAGGUGCGCCGCACCUAGGGUCUUUGCCCACUGCCACCACCGACUCACUUGCUCCACCUACUCCGCCGCUCCCAUGCCACUUGCACCUGCAAAAAGGAGAAAAGAAGCACAGGCACGCAAACAAAAUAAUAGAAAAAUGUAAAAGCCGAAACACAAUGUAAUAGUUUUUUUAACGGAGAAAUAAAAGAAAGGAGAAGUUAAAAAAGGUUGUUGUUUUCUCUAAUCUUUCUAUUUUAUUUUAUUUUAUUUUUUGUUUAUUAAUCUUUUUUUCCAAAAAAAGGUUUUAAACACUUAAAAAAGGAAAUAAAAAAGAGAAAAGGAGGAGUUUUUUUUACCUUUUUGACGACGCCGGAGUGUUCGGAGGGUCGGAGGGACGAUUCGGCGCAAAAAAGGGAAACUUUUCAGCUUCCCGCCGCCGUGUACGGCGGCGCCGGCGAUCGGCGGCCGAUGGCCGGUUUCUGGGCAAUGCCCGGAUUGGAAGCAGAGAGAGGGAGAAAGGGUUUUCGGGGAUUUUUUGCAGAAGGGGAAGAAAAGCUGAAAUUUUGUUGAAAAAUUUUGGCUUAAAUAGCCUUGUGAAACGACGUCGUUUCACCCAGUCCCCAAACGUCCCAAAACGACGCCGUUUUGUGCUCGACCCGAGAACUGACCCGACCCGCAGGGAGGAUCCGCAUGUUUUUGUUGGAAGGGCUAAUUGAAAGUUUAGCCCUUCCAUUUUUUUAUGUUUUUUAAGUAAGUAUUUUCUAUUUUUUAAUUCGGCCUUAACAUUUGUCGCGUUUUCAUUUGGGCCCUCGUCUGAAUGUCGUUGUUUGGAAAAGAGGGGAAAAUUAUUUGUUUAAUCCCUCUCCGUUACUCGCGUAUUCAGUUUGGUCCUUCACCUUUUAUUUACUAGCGAUUUGACCCCAAAUUUCAGCUUAGUUUCUAAUUUAGUCCUCCAUUUGGCAUUUAGGUUAUUUUAUUAUUGAAUUGAUCAUUUUAAUAUUAUUAUUACUAUUAUAUUAUAUCAUUAUUACUAUUAUUAUUAUUUAUUAUUAUUUACUUAUUUAUAAUUUAUAUACACAUGCAUAUAUUUUUAUAAUAUACAUACAUUAUUUUUACAAUAUAUAUAUACGUAUUUUUUUAUAUUCUAUAAUUUAUACACAUAUCUACAUAUACCUAUAUAUAUAUCUUUAAUUUUCAUAAAUUUAUAUAUAUAUACAUGUUUAUAUAUAUUUUAUUAUAUCUUAUAAAAUAUAUAUUUGCAUAUAAUUAUAUUAUAUAUAUUUCUAUAAUUUAAAUACAUAUCCAUAUAUAUAUAUCAAUACACAUCUCAAUUUCACUAAUAUAUAAAUAUACUUACAUGUUUUUUUUAUCUUACAAUUUUUAUAUACAUAUAUAUAUUACUUUUUUAAUCCUAUUCACUUUCUAUAUUUAUUUCCUUAUUUACAUUUUCAUUAUUAUUUAGGAAGAAUGUUUUAGUUCUAUUUAUUUAUAUAUUUGUUAUUUCGCAUGAUAUUAAUUUGUCCUUUUAUUUUACUUUGUUGUUAUUGUUCGUAUUAUCUAUGUUCACAUUAUUGUAUUCGUUAACAUUUUGUUACGCAUGUUAAUAUCCUUUUAAAAAAAUUUAAAAUAAGGCAAUGUUUUGCGUUUAGAAAGUCGAGAAAACGUGCCCUAAUGUGCUGGGUUUCAAUUUUUGUCGUUCGACCAAAUAGCCAAAUAUCCUUUUAGAAAAUUUCAAAAUAAGUCAAUAUUUUGCAUUUGGAUAUUCGAAAACGUGCUCUAAUGUGCUAGGUUUUGAUUUCUCGUUUGACCAAAUAGCCAAAUAUCUUUUUAAAUCUCAAUCCAUGUCAUUCUAGUUUUUUUAAGGAUCGUACUUUAAAUCUCUUUAAAGUUUUUAAUAUUCGACAUUAAGACAUUAACUAAUCAACUAGGUACCAAUUUUUAGGCGUUACGAGGGUGCUAGUCCUUCUUCGUAUGUAACCGACUUUCGAACCCGUUUUUUCUGAAUUUCAUGGACCAAAAUCGUUGUUUUAAUAAAAUCAAAUCGUUUAUUAAAAACAACCACUUUUCAAGGUGAUCCGAUCACACUUUAUCAAAAAGGAUUGGUGGCGACUCUCAAAUUCGAUUUCAUUUUUCAAAACCCAAAUCGACCCCGUUUUCAUCAAAAAAAUGGUGUCAACAAAGUCAACAUCAUCAUACACAUAACAUGUUAUGUUAACAAAGAAUCAACUGUUACUAAGAAACAUGUCAUCAUGACGGAUAGAACUUAAGGGUCAAUGACAAUUUCCGCUUAUUAAAGAGAUUAAAUGAUAAUUUAUUUAGUUUGAGGAUUCAAUUAAGUGAAAUAAUUAAUUAAAAAUUCAUUUUCGGUACAAACCUUUAAGCCAAUUUAAAUUAUUAAUAUAUAAAUAUAUAACACAAUUAAGUAUAACAUAAAAACAAUAAGAAUAGCAGCAUGCAGUAUCAAAAGGUAAUGAAAAAAAGAAAGAACAAAAAUAAGAAUCCAAUCAAUACCUACAUCCCUUUGGAAGUAAGCAAAGGGAAAAGGAAUCUUUGUUGGAACAAAUAACUUUUGUAAUUUUCCUAAGUGAUGCUAGGAGAUUGAGAUUGGAGUAUGUCUUCAUCUUUUCUUUCUUCUUUCAUACUUCUCAAUUUUCUUCAAAAAGAAAAAGGGAAAAAGAACCUUCAAAAAGUAUACUAAAUUCUGUAAAUUUUUAUUUAUAUACAUUGAAUUUAAUUUAACUUUAAAAUCUUCCCUUAUUUAUUCCAUUUUAAAACGUUUUGAUUAUUAAAUCUAGAUUUUUUACCUUUCUUUAAUAUUAUUAAAUUACGUGUUCCCAAAAGUUAUUUUUAAGAAUAAGUUCUUUCUCAAGGAUUACCUCAAUAUUCGUAGGUAUCAAGUUCCUUUGAAGUUUAUUUACUUAUAAGUUUUCAGCUCCACGUUGAAAUUAGGAUAAUUAUUUUUAUAUGAUUACAAAAAUUUGACACUUACAAGUAUUGAGAUUCUUGUACAACAUUCAACUUUUAAAUUGUCAUAAUUUAAUUUUCUAAUGAGGGCAAAUAAUUAAUAAAGGUCCCUUUAUUUUUUAAAUUACCGAAAUGGGCCAGGUCCUGAAUUAAUUACCAAAAUAGACCAUUUCUCUCAAAAACGCGUCCACGUCAGCGCGUUGUCAGGGGAUAAAGCAAAAAAACGCUUCCUCAAGGAAGUGCUUUGUCCACGUGAACAAAAAUCGCUUCCUUGAGGGCGAGCUUUGUGUCCACGUGGACAAAGCAUUUCCUUGAGGAAGUACUUUCCCCGUUUUUAGGAUUUAGGGUUUUUUUUUGCAAUUAGAGUUAGGGUUUUAGGGUUUUUUGAGUUUUUUGAUUUUAGGGUUUUAAAGAAGCGCUUUGUCCACGUGGACACAAAGCGCGCCCUCAAGGAAGUGUUUUUUGCCCACGUGGACAAAGUGCUUCCUUGAGGAAGCGUUUUCCUGCUUUAUCCCCUGACAACGCGCUGACGUGGACGCGUUUUUAGGGGAAAUGGUCCAUUUCGGUAAUUAAUUCAGGACCUGACCCAUUUCGGUAAUUUUAAAAAUAAAGGGGCUUUUAUUGGUUAUUUGCCCUUCUAAUGACUAUGGAUAACAUUUAAUCUGAAACCCAAUACCAUCAAAUGUCGAGUUUGUUAUGAAAAUUCAAAACAAACGUACAAUGUAAUAUGAAAAAAAUUUAACAAAAAAUUAGAUUAACCUUGUCACGCAUAACUGUUGAGGUUUUAUUAAAAACCUAACAUAACUCUAAUUUAAAAGAACCAACACAAAUCCUCUUUUACUUCUACUCUAGUCUAAGUACAUAAGUAUCUCAAAAUUCUAAUUUCCAAGCAUACCGUAAUAAAUGCCCGUUUAUUAAGAUAUGAACAAGGACAUUUUGUCGAGAACACAACAAUAUUGGAAUAUUCUCUCGUGGCUCAAAUUGGUGGUAACAUGGGUUUAGACUUUACUUGACGAUAGAUCCAUUCUUAGUUAAUGCAAGUCGGUUUUUAUCAUGCUAGCCGAAUUGAGAAAGUUACUUUUGUGCCAUCAUUCAUAUAUGCACUAAUUGAAUUAUAGAGAUUUGAGACCCAUAUGUUUCAUCUCUCAUGCGGCGUAGCAAUAAUAACACUACAAGAUAUAACAUUGUUGACCAAUGGACAAACAUCUUAUAAUGGGAAGUUUUUAGUACAAUUUAAGGCAGAUCUUUUAUCCAGCGUUUGGAACAGAUAUUGACCUUAAGUUCAAUUUCCAAAGGCUUCAAAUUAAGUUAAAAUGGUUGAUGACCUUCAAGCAUCUCCCACAGAAUCUACACUCGGUGAUAUUGGCCGUUCUUAAGUUGAUCGAAGGUACAUUGAUGCCAAAAAAGUCUAGUAACUUAGUUUAUAUCAUGUACCUCCUUUAUUAUCAAAUUUCAAUUAGCUAGUAUAUACAAUUAGGGGUCUAACGUCUUAGCAUACCUUUAUAGGGCGCUAUACAAGGCAUGUAGAGUGGGGAAUGAGUAAGUAAAUGAUCACAUUGUGAUUUUACAAUUGCGGGGAUGGUAUUGACUUUCGUGGGUUACAUCUAUACCUUCUCAAGCUUUCAAUUUCCCUUUUGGUAGAAGGUAAAGUCAAGGUGGCAAACAAGCAAGUUCAAGCAGGCUUGGAUCAGGUCGUUUUCAGAUUCAAAUUGUUUCUCAAGCUCAAGCUUUCUUGGGCCAUUUUUUUUUAGGCUCGAGCCCUUUCGAAUUUGAGUUUAUCUAGCAAGCAUCCAAGAUUUGGCGUAUCGAUCCAUCUCCUCCACAAUUGCAUGUAGUGGAAGGGUUGGUUUGACAAGCCUUUCCAACCAUAUGCAUUUCACACUAUUGCCAUCUAAUUCAUUAUUGUCCUUAUUCUUAGACGAGAUGACACCCAAAAAUUGACGGCACUUGUACUUUGUGUUGACGUUAGUAGUUCUGAUUAUUGCAUAUCUAUCGAUAGGAAGGUUGAUUAUUAAAGUGAUAUCCUCUAGCAUUAUAGUCACUUCCUUACAUGGAAAAUAGAUGUGUUUUCGACUUCCAUCUUUCCUACAAGGCGACAAGUAACUUAGGUAUUUUUGUAAAUUUCGUCAUUGUAAAUGUUACAUAUAAAUUAAUCGUUUUCAAGCACUCUUUGGCAGUGCAUCUUCCUCUAGGAAUUUCAAACUAUCCUAAGCACGAACAACUUAACCGCUUCGAUGUUCAAAAUUCAUAAAAAUAAUAUUUAAUUUCAUAAAAUCUUAAAAAUGUUUUCACAAAAAUAACAAAACUAAAAACAAUUUAGUUGGAACUUUUACAUUGAUGGCAUGGUUUGCUAUGUGUUGUUCCUAAAAUCUUAAUAUAAUCAUUUUUCUCCAAAAACACAAAUUUUUUUUUGGGAUAAUUUAAUAGGAUUUUGGUUGAGAAAAAAAAGAAAAAAAAUGGGUGAGUACUUACGAAGUAAAGUAAAGUAUUAUAGUUGUCAACUUUCAUUUAUUAAAUAAGUUUUUUGAGACAACAAAUAAAUAAAGUAUCUGGUCAAAUUUCACAAUCCUAAACUCACAUCUAUAGAAGUCAAGGUCUAUCAACUGCAUUUGUAGUACCUUCCUCUUUAUAGUUACAUACUGUCGUGAUGAUUUGAACUUUAUACCUUUGAAUCUUAAAAAUAUAAAAUAACUUUUGAAAACACACAUAAAUAAUAUUAAAAAAAGUACUAUAUUUGGGUUAAAACUCAAAUAUUGUGUAUAGAAGAAAAAUAAGGCAUUGUUUAGUGGUAGCAUAACUGGUAUGGAUAAAAAACAAUAAUGGCAACUUGAGUAAACCUAGCUAGGCCUCUUUCUUCUCUCUCAUCUAAGCAUGUUUUCAUGAUUGAAACUUGGAAGUGAGGUUAAUUAGAUUCUAUAAUUGUUUAAUAUAGAAUAUAUUGUUAAUAAAAUACUAAGUUAAAUAUUUCACAAAAAUUUUAAAAAGUUUAAAAUUCUCUAUAUUCAUAAGCUUCAACUACAACUUGUUUCUACACUCAAAAAUAAGGAGGAAAAGAAAACAGAAACAAGACAACUGACGACAAAGCUUCUUUUCCAUGAAGUAGAUAUACUGUCGAGAAUGUUAAUGACUUAAUGACAUACUAAGAGUAAUUAGAUGUCAAUUAUGGUGAAAAUUUUAAUGGUGUAAACCCCAUACCAACUUAAAUUUAUUUUUUAAUCCUCAAAUUACUUUGGAUAAUCAACUAUGAGAAUAAAUUUUAAUGAUAUGUGGGGAUCACUGUCUUUUUCUUUUGAUUUUCUCUUACUUGAAAAUUGAAUAAAAAUUCAAAUUUGUAUAUAAUUUUUUUUUUAUUUUAAAACUUUUUAGCAUUUAAAAUUACUUUUGAAAACCUCUAAAGCUCUACCUUUGUUAGUGAUCUUUUAAGGGUAUAUAAAUAUUGUUUUGAUUUUUUACUUUUUAAACUUUUAGCAUUUAAAAUUAUUUUUUAAAGUUAUACCACAUUUUAGUAGUUUCUUAAGCAGUUGGAUCCCUUGGCAGCUAACAAAGUUAGUUUUUUAAGGUUGUAUUUUUAUUAUAGGCUUAAAUUUUAAAUUGGUAUUUAAAUUAUACCAUUUUUUAUUUUAAUAUUUAAAAUUUUUUUAUCACAAAAUAGUGCCUAAACCACGUUUUUUCCCCAAAUUGGUAUUCUUAUUUGUCAAACCGUUAAAUAUAUUUUAAAAGAAGAUUAACCCACAAAUUUGUACGUACAUUAUGUAUUUUUUUUUAUUUUGAUACCUAAAUAUUUUUUUGUCACAAGUGAUACCUAAACUAUUUUUUUCUAAGUUGAUAUUUUUGUUAGUUCAAUUGUUAGUUUAACCAUUAAGUCUACUUAAAAAAAUUAAUUAAAAAUUGACAUGUGGUAAAAAAGACAAAUUGUUAUUUUUUUCUUAUAUGUUUUCUUUUUCUUAUUUCUUUUUUCAGAUCUAGAUCGUUGGUUGAACCAAUCAAACCAUUAGUUCUCGAUUUGAUCAAUUCAUCCGGUUCGAUUAAAUAAAUUAUUAAAAAUUCAUAAAAAUAAAAAUUCAAAAUAGAAAAAAAAUCAGUUCAAUUGGUUUUCUUAGCUUUGUUCAAUCAGUCUAUAUCUAUUCACAGCUUAAUCGCUUCAACCCCUAUCUUCGGACCAAUACCCCGACCAUUUCUAGGUACAGUUUUGGAGACACUGUGAUCAAUGAAAUAACUUUUUCAACCUUGUUAGGUAGAACAAGCGAGCGAUUAUGUUCAAAAAUAAAAUUAAUCGCCAACCUCUCUCAACCUCUGAAAGGAAAAUUUCGAGCAUUGCUAUUAUUGUCAAUUCGAUCAUUGGUUCAAUUCUAAAAAUAUUGAUCUCAAUAUAAAUUAUUAGUUUAUUAUAUAUUAAGUAAAUUUUUAUUAUAAUGAAAUAUUUUAGUUAAAUUUUCAGUAAAAUAUUUGUUAUUGUUACCUGUUAGUGUAAAAAUUAUAAAAAAAUUAUUAUAUAAAAUCAAAUGUGUUAAAUAAUUAUGUUAUAAAAAUAACAUAUUAAAAUUUAAUUGUUUUUAUUCUUAAAAUAAUUAAAUAGAGAAACUUGAUUUUUAAAAGUUUGAAAAAAAAAAAGACUAACAAAGGCUAGUUCUUCAUUGUUUUUGAAAAGUACUUUUGAAAAGUGUUGUGGAAAAGUUCUUUUGAAAAAUUUGAGUAUUUAGUAUUACUGUCAAAAAAGUACUUUUGAAGAAUAAAAUGUCCAUUUUCGACAUGAUAUUAUAAAGUAACAAAUAUGUAUUUAAAUAAUGUUCAAAUUAGUUAAUAUUAUGAUAUUUUAGCAAAAAUAUAAAAAUAAUUUAUUAUAACUUAUUGUUAAUAUUUUAAUAUAUAAUAUUAAUUUUAAAUAUUUAUAAGUAAUUAAUAUUAAUUAUUUAUUAAAUUUAAUUAGAAUAUAUAAACUAUAUUUAAAUAUUUAAAUAUAAUAAUUAAAUAUUUGUAAUUAGAUAUUGACACAAUUGUAUUAUUUUAAAAAUUAUUUUUUUAUUUUUAAUUAAUGCUUUUAACACAUUUGUAUUAUUUUAUUUUAAAAUGUAUUUGAAUAUAUAACUCAUAUUAGAUAUUAACAUAACAUAGAAAACAUAAACCUAACAAAUUAAAAUAUUACAUAUAUUUGGAUUAAAGUUUUAAAAAGGGAUAAUAUUUAUAUAACAAAUAUAAAUACUAAAAAUUUUACAAUAGCAUUUACAAUUUAAAGUGAAUACAUUAAACUAGAAGCUAUAACAUCUCUUGUUAAUUCCAUUUCAAAACCACUUGAAUUGUUUGAUUCACCGUCAUCAUCACCAUCAUCAUCGUCGUUGUCAUCAUCAUCACUUUCUCGACCAUGCGUAUUUUCUGAAUCAAUAAUAUUCUCAUGGUUUAAUCCUAAAACAUGCAUAUAGGAUUGCUAAAUGGAUCUUGUUUUGGGCGGGGAGAGUACAUAGUGCAACAAUAUCACUACAUAAAAAACAAUUAGAAAAAUAAGGAAAUACUUACAAACCUAAUUGUUCAACAACUGUUAAGAAAUGACCCCAACAAGUAUACCGCUACGGAACAAGACCGAAUCUAUUCCCAUGUAUAUCAAGCAAUGCAACUACUAGCACUAGAAGUUGUGUAACCAAAAAAUAGAUCACAGUGGGAGAUCUCUAAGACUGGAUUCUGCAAAAGCAUAGCCAAAGGGACAAACUGUCAAAAUAUGCAGAGACUGAAGGAAAGAAUUAAAGAAAACAAAAUAUAUCCUCACAUCAUAAAACCAAUUAGCUUGAGCCACCAAGCAUCUCCUACACUUUGUUUAUAGCCUCCAACAGCCCAUAUAACAAGAUAUGCAACUUGUGAAAGAAAAACAAGUAGGGAAAAGAUGAUAACAGGCCACAGUAACAAAUAUUUCCUCCUAAAACGAAAUCCUACAAGAAAGUAAUCCCAUGUUACUUUAUAAGAAAUGAAAACAACUUCAAAUAAAACCAUUAACAUACAAUAAUCAGAAAAAGAAAUUAAACUUAUAAAGAAUGCAAGAAGUCAAGAAAUAUCAUAAACCCCUCUUCUAAUUUUCUUAUAGACUUGGGGUUAUGUAACAUUAAAGAUUGCUGAAUUCCACAAUAAGCACUUAGCAAAGUUCAUUAGAUACGUCCAGCAAAAUCUAAAGCACCAACGAGAUAAAAGUCGUAAGAAAAAACAAUGAACAAACAACUGAGACCCUGCUGAAUUAUGGAAAAUUGGAACUACAAAACUACAAAGAUAAAGCAAAACAUUACCAGAAAAUCUUCAUCACUUACCUAUUUUAGGUGCAGUAUACUGAAUGAGAAGGAAAGCGAUCAAAUCAACAAGAGAGAUCAAACUCCACUUGAGCAAUGAAGCUUCAAGAAAGACAGAACAGGUAAAAACUAUUAAUUAAUUGAUGACAGAGCAUAUAUGUAUUUGUAUAUGCAUACACACGACAAAAAAAUGCAGUUUCAAACAGUAACUCAUAAAAGAAAUAAAUGAUCUCAACAUCAGUAGAGAAUUUUUCUU